rnacentral:lncRNA from 1 species
UUUUUUUUAGGUACACGUUAAGCUUGUUCUUCUGAAAUUUCAAGCCGCGCCGUGUUAUGCCAAAAAUUCAAGCUAGCGUCUCUGUCUAUCGUGUUGCGAAACUCCCGCCUCUUCAACCCGCGCCUUGUUAGCCUGAAAUAUUUAAGAUAUAUCUUUGUCUCGUUGUGCUCCGACAACUCCCUCCAUCUCAACCCGCGCCUUGCUAUUCCGAAUUACAACGUGCGCAAAAACUCCCACCUCCUGUGAAAUCCCGACACGCGAAAUGCCCGUGGUACCCCUGAACCGAAAGAACCGCCUCAAAUCGGCGGGGGUACUUUCGUAACUUACCCCACAUUUCGGACAAGCGCGUCUCUAAGCCAUGGUUCCCCACUGCCAUCCCAUCCGCCCACCCAUUCGUACACCGAGGCCGCGAAAACCCGCGACGAAACCCCACACCCUGCUCCGUCCGCCACCCAGCCGGAGCCUCUUCCCCGACGACGUCGUCCACAGCAACACCUCGACGUCCCUCAUCCACCGUACCGGAUGAGGAUCCGUCGUCGAUCUCAUCGUCCCGCCGGUUCAGCCACCCGUCCUCCACCUCCAAGGAGCUGCCCCAACGUUCCCUUCGUCUUUCGCGCCAUCUCCAUUCCCACACCGCCGUCUUCACCUGCACCACCGGAAGAGCAUCAUCAUCACCGUUUCCUCGGAUGAAGCUGCGGCCUAAUCGGCGCCACCAAAGAGGUUGUACACUAAUCGCCGCAUUUUCUUCUUGAUUCGAUCUCACGGUGCUGCCGGCGCUCGGUCCCGAGCCGACACGGUGCGGCUCCAUCCACGGCGGCGUCGCCGGCCACUUCCUCCACGGCAUCGCUCCCUCGGCGGCGACGUCCACAUCAGUAGGAGCUACUGCUGCUUUAGCUCUCGCUCGCGCUGCUGCUCAGCUCUUGCUCUCGGUCCCCUGCCUGGCCUGCUCUUGCUAUUGCUCUUGCUCGCGCUGCUGCUCUCGCUCUUGCUCUUGCUUGCGAUGCUGCUCCGAUUUAGCUACACUUCAGGCGACUGAAUCGACUUUUGGGUCAGUCGAUUUUCAGGGGGUGGGGGGCUCACCCGGGUGAAGGAAGAACUAGCCGCAGUGGGGAGGGGGGCUCGCCGGAGAGGUACCCCACUAUCUAUCUUAGGGUUCAGGAUGGGGGCGGUGGUCGCCGGCGGUGGUGGGGCGUCNNNNNNNNNNNNNNNNNNNNNNNNNNNNNNNNNNNNNNNNNNNNNNNNNNNNNNNNNNNNNNNNNNNNNNNNNNNNNNNNNNNNNNNNNNNNNNNNNNNNNNNNNNNNNNNNNNNNNNNNNNNNNNNNNNNNNNNNNNNNNNNNNNNNNNNNNNNNNNNNNNNNNNNNNNNNNNNNNNNNNNNNNNNNNNNNNNNNNNNNNNNNNNNNNNNNNNNNNNNNNNNNNNNNNNNNNNNNNNNNNNNNNNNNNNNNNNNNNNNNNNNNNNNNNNNNNNNNNNNNNNNNNNNNNNNNNNNNNNNNNNNNNNNNNGGCGAGGGGAUCGCCGGAGAAAAAGCUCGGCACGGGGGGCCUAGAGGGAUGGCCGGGGCGGCGGCGGACCGGCGGUGGGGAGUGUUUUCGGGGCGGGCGGGGCGGCGCACCGCUGGCCGCGGGCGGCGGGGGGCUGCUGUUUGGCCGGUGGUGGCUGGCGGCUCAGGGGGGUGGAGGUUGAAGAUGAACCGCAUGCCCUUGAUUUCGUAUCCAACGGCUGCAAAAUCGACCGACCAGAGAUGAAAAAGUCAGUCGACCGACGUGUAUCCUCACCUUGCUAGUGCGUUCAGUUUCGACAGCAAAAUUCAUUUUCGACAGCAAAAUUCAGUUUCAACAGUUAAGUUCAGUUUCGACAGUUAAGUUCAGUUUCGACAGUUAAAUUCAGUUUCGACAGUUAAUUUCAGAGAUGAGCGGCUGAUGUAUUUUAUAUCUAGCACUUUGUGGUUAUGUAUUUUAUGUCAUGUAUUGGAGAUGCUAUUAGAAUUCCACUCAGGUUAACGUUGUUCGUUGUCUCUCUUGUCCUGCUUCAGCCUCGGCGUCGUACAACUCACCGGAGCUGCUCCAACGACGAAACCCUCCAUCACAGCGGAGCGGUACCUCGGGCUCCAUCUCCAGACGCCUAAGAUCUUCUUCCCCUCCUCCGACAGCCAAGUCAGCCGGAGCAUCCUCACCGGCCAACCCAAUCACGCUGAGAUCGACAUGGCUUCGCCAAAGAGGUUGUACACUUGUUGCAUCUCUUUUUUACUCUACAUGUUAUAUAUAUUGUCCACUGAGCACUCGUAGUAACGGGAAAUACGAUUAUUUUAUCCUACCAUAUGACAAGCAGUGAGGUACCAGGCAACUUAGCUAUCCGUGAUGGACUCUCUUGAACGCCAUCAUUAUUUAUCUCUGCAUGUUUGAGCUGUGCAUUUGUCGAUGGGCCUGGGAGUUGAGCUAGUAUGGCAGUGGCCUGGGUCCAAAGUAAUAGAAGUAGCACAAAAACAUUUUUUUAGUGUAGGAUUUUCCUUGCUCAAGCCUGCCUACUAGAAUCGCCAGUGCUUGAAAGGAAAAGUGAAUGAAAAACAUCGGAAUUGGAAAGUUUCCUAUGGUACUACUUUUCAUGAAUUUGGUGCAAAGGAAUGGAGCAAAGGAAAACUGUAGGAUUUGUUCCUUUAGUGUCUCCUUGAAAGAAAAACCGUAGGAAUUCUAAUUUCCACUUCUCCUCCUUUUCAUAUUCCUAUUCAUCAAGCACAAGACUAAGAGAUAGUAGCAUAAUAGCACUAUAACCGUACAUUUUCUUGUGGUUUGACUUAAUCUCACCAUGCUUUUUUGCAUCCUGUGAUUUUCCAAUUGUUGUGAAUCAAACACCCAGAUUGGCAGAAAUCCUGUGUUUUUAAAUUCUCAGUUUUGCACGUGCAUUCCUAUCCUAUUCCUGUCUAUUUCCUAUCCCUGCAUUGUUAGAAUCCUCAAAUUCAAACAAUCCCUUACUCAAUUACUUCUGUUACAGAUAUGUGUCAAAGAAAACCUUGUGUGGUUUGUCCUGCUCCUGCGGCGUUGUGGUCCACCCCAGCUCAGCUGCUCCAACGACAGAAGGGUUCACCACAGCAGGGAUCUGCUCUCCAGACUGUCUUUCGCCACCUCAGAUCUUCUUCCCCGCCGUCGGCAGCCACGGCAACUGCAUUACCAUCAUCAACUGAGCAGAUGACCUUGAGGACUACACGGGUCCGCAAGAGAGGUCGCACUCUUUCGUGUCUGCUUACGUUAUGCGUCGCUUAAUAUGAUGACAUGCUACAUUAUUGUCGUGUUCACCUAUUAGACUCUGAGUCAGGUCCAAACUAAUGCUGAAACUUGAGUUUUUAAAUGGUUGUGGGGUACAUAUUGGGGCAGCAAUCAGUACUAUCUGUCUACUAUCUGGUUAAUCUCCGGUGUCUACUAUGAGUUUCAUGUUGGGUGCAAACAAACAUUAAAGUAGCCAUUAUCUGUAUUUUUUAACUAAAGCUAUUAUCUACCUGCUAUCAUUGGUUUUGGGUCUAUCCACAGUUUGCUACCAUCACUCUGGAUUUGUGCAUGCACUCCUUACAUAAUCUCACUAUGUUUUAUUCCUAUGCAUGCCAGUUAUUGUACACAAUGGAACUGAUCAUGUAGAGCAAAAGAGACGAGCCUUGCGUGGCAAUAAAAUUUCAUGCAGACGUCGUUCCAUGGUGGGCGCAAAGGCAGCCCCCCCUCCACCCAUUUCAGAUCGUAAUCAAGAGGAAGAUAACUGUUUUGAGGGGGAUUCAGAAGGAGAAGACCACUCCUAUUUACCCCAUGAGGUCUUCGCUCUAACUUGGCAUGCUGAUGUUGGUAAUAUCAUGCAUAUGGUGCCUUGCAUUGCUUACUGUAUACAUUAAAGAUGUCAUCUGGUUAGUUUAGACAUGCUUUGUGUCAAUGCCAUCUGUUUAGUUUCUUUAUCGUAUAUGUGAAUCAUGCAAUGCCAUCUUGUCUAGCCAGGCAUCAUAUAUGUGAAUUUUGCAAUGCCACCCUGGUUAGCCAGUCAUCUUAUAUGUGAAUUAUAUCAUGCCAUCAUUUUUUUAUUACGUGUUAAAUUUGUCAACAAUUUUAGUACAUUCAAUUACUCUUCUUGUGCAUCAGCCAUUCGGCAUGGUCAUGGAAAAAUCUGGAGUGGAAACAAGGUCUUCAGAGCAGACAAUGCUAUCUGACGAAGCGCAUGUCUUGCUGGUUACCAAUAGCUCCUCAGAGGAGGAUUCAGAGACAGAUGACCAGUCAUAUCCCCCCCCCCCCGAGGUGCAUGCCCUAACUUGGCAGGGUUAUGUUGCUCAUAUCGUGUGUAUGGUAUCUUGCAUUGCUAUGUCAUUUGCUUAGUUUAGACAUGCUUUGUGUGAAUGCGACCUGUUUAGUGUCUAAUUACCAUAUAUGUGAAUUAUGCAAUGCCAUCUUGUUGCAAGACAUUAUAUAUGUGAAUUAUGCAAUGUUAUCUUGUUGCAAGGCAUUAUGUAUGUGAAUUAUGCAAUGCCAUGCUGUUUAGGCAAGCGUCAUAUAUGUUAAUUAUAUCAUGCCGUCCUUUUUUUGUAUUUCUCAUUGCUUUUGUCGACAAUGUUUGUAUAUUCAACUGCUCUUCCUGUGCAUCAGCCAUUUGAAUUGGUGAUGGAGAAAUCUGGAGUGAAAACAAGGUCUUCAGAGCAGACAAUGCUACCUGCUGAAGCAGAUAUCUUGCUGGUUACAGAUAGCUCUUUAGAGGAGGAUUCAGAGGCAGAUGACCAGUCCUAUUAUCCCCCUGAGGUGUAUGCUCAAACUUGGUAGGGUUAUAUUACUCAUAUAAUGCAUAUGUUGUAUUGCAAUGCUCAGUUUUUACAUCAUAUACACAAUAUUGAAUGCCAUCUCCUUAGUUGACACAUCAUAUAUGCGAUUGCCCUCUGCUCACUUCCUUAGUAUAUAAAUCAUAUAUUUGAAUUAUGGCAUGCCAUGAUGUUUACAUAGACAACAUGUAUCUGAAUUAUGGCAUGCCAACCCAUUUUCUAAAGACAUGAUAUAGUUAUAUCAUCUCAUCCUGUUUACAUAGUCAUCAUAUUUUAAAUUAUGUCAUUCUAUCCGUGAAUUAUAUCAUGCCAUCAUGUUUCCAUCGACGGCAUGUUUGUGAUUUAUGGCAUGCCAACCACUUUAAUAGACACAUCGUAUAGUUAUAUCAUGUCAUCCUGUUUACAUAGUCAUCAUAUUUUGAAGUAUGUCAUUCUAUCCUGUUUAGUUAGCCAUCAUACAUGUGAAAUUGUGUCAUGCUAUCCUGUUUAAUUAGCCAUCAUAUAUGCGAAAUUAUGUCCUGCUAUUCUGUUUGCUUAGACAACAUAAAUGUGAAUUAUUUCAUGCCCUAUUUUCUUCCCUACUAUCCAUUGCACCUGUCUAUCUUACAAUGUCUGUACAUUCAAUUACUUUUCUUGUUUAUCAGCCAUUUCAAUUGGAGGGAGUGAUGGCAGUAUCUGUGGGAGUAAAAACACGGUCUUCAGAAAAGAUCGUGCUACCUGUCGAUGCAGAUAGAACUACGGUUGUACUUGCCCAAGAACCAGCCCCACCACACAUAACCCACACUCAUGCAGAUUGUACCCCUACCAGUUGGACAGAGAACCAGCUACACCCCUUCUAACCCCAACCCCAGCAGAUAGACACCCAAUUCCCGUUGACACAGCACCGUCUCCACCACAGAGCACCCAAACACGAGCAGUUAGUAAGGCAACUGCAGUGCCCAAAUCACGAGGACCACCACUCCGAACCCGAAGUCAACGCUUAAAGCAGAAGAAGAAUUGUUCUCAGGUCAGGUUCCGUAGCUAUGGUUCAUACUACUUUGCUCUUGCGUCACUGUAUUUACUGAUACCAACUAAUUUCAAAUUUGAAGGAUGCAAUUGAAACUCCAAUGGCGCAACAGGUAUGUUUUAAACCUGUUUCUUCAACGUGUUUGGUCGUUUGCUGUUGUAACUUGCUCUAUGUUGAUUUCAGUUUCAAUUGAAUAAACAGUUAUGUUCUCAUGCCAUGCACAUUACAAGUGUUGUUAUUGUUGUGUAGUUUCCCACACUUAUAUUUUGUCUAUGCUACUUUGUCUUAAAUAGAUAUGAUUCGAACUGUAUCUAUCUUGAUUUGGCAACAUAAACUAGAAUGAUAUAGACCAUACAGUGACCAUACUACAUAGAUAUAUGUUUGUUUUAUGCUGUUAUCCUGUCCACCUUACUACUGAACUGGUUUACCAAAAUGAGUUUCAUAUACUACAUUGUAAACCUGAGAUGUGUUUGUUUGUUUCUCUUUUAGAACGCGGAUAAAAUAUUGGAGAAGAGUACCCUGUUAUGCAAUGGUAAAGGAAGUACUGAAGAUAAGGUUCAAGAUAGUGAGACAUCCCUGUUGGUCUCCAAGAAAGCUGAUAAAAACUAUAUUGAAGACACUGAGACAACCCCAAAGUCCUGUCUUGAUGUAGUGUUCGAGUUACUGGCUACCACUGCUGGCACCAGCUCUUCGAACUCGUUGCCUGAAUCAGUUCGGCUUCUUGAGUCUCAACUUCAAGUUGAAAGACAUCGAUCAAAUGUUAUGCGACAGGAAGCCGAAGGACUGAGGAAGUCCCUGCAGAAGUCAGAUGCAUACUUUCUGGUGCAACAGCAAGCGCUGCAGGACUUAAGCGCCAAACAAGAGAAAGUUAAUAAGCUUGCUAAGCAUCUUGCCAGCAUUAUGGGUACCCAGGAUAUUGUUUCUUGAGCUCUUCUGAAGUGGUUUUAGUUCUGGACUUGUUUUGCUGCGGCGUUUAUAUGCUGCUGUGUUCCCUAUAUUUGCACUGGUGGCAAACUUUGAUGCCCAGUGGAUGUAAUAUGUGUAAUAGCCGUGAUAGCCUAGUGUAAGUUGCUUGCUUAUUUAUUUCCUUGUUGUCUUGUUUAUUUGUUUGCUUGUAGUCAGUGCAGUUCUUUUUCUGCGGUUUGCUAGUGGCUGCAAUAACCUAUUUUUUAAAACUAGGCCACAAUAACCAUGGGCUAAUAUUUAAUGUUGUGACGCUGGGCCUCCUACGGGCCGUAGAAAUAGUGGGCCUUCUACGGGCCAUAUAAACAGUGGGCCUUCUAUGGGCCGUAGAAAUAGUGGGCCUUCUUUGGGCCGUAGAAACAAUGGGCCUUCUAUGGGUCGUAUCAUCAAUGGGCCUUAUACGGGCCGUAUGAUCGAUUUGCCAAACAUGGGCCAAACAAACCGCAUUCUGGCCGUAAACGGGCUAGAGUUGGAAUCGUCCGUUCAUGGGCCGACCAUAACGGGCCAUCGUUAAUAGGCUGUAUUUGAUGACGCUAUGAAAACGGCCCAUCAUAUUAACGGACCACAAACGGGCCGACUGUAACCACGGGCUGAAUUUGGCCCACAAGCAGAAAAUGACAGUAACGGGUCGUAAGUAAACGAAUGCUGGAAAAUAGCCCAAGAAUAAAUGGGCUCUGAGAAGGCCGAAAGAUAACAUGGGCUGGAAACGGCCCAACGGAAUAACGGGCCGUUAAUGGGUAUAAAGUGAUACACUGUUCUUUACGGGCCAGUUUCACCACGGGCCGUUAAUGGGUGUAAAGUGAUACACUGUUCAUUACGGGCCAGUUUCACCACGGGCCGUUAAUAGGCCAAGAGUUACAUAGGGCCUCAUAUGGGCCGAAAGACGUCAUGGGCCAUACAUGGGCCAGAAGUGAAAACGGGCUGGAAUCAUAUUGGAUGGCCCAGAUGACGCUACUGGGCCUAAUUCGAAUAGGGCGUAACGGGCUUGGGUUAGCGGGCUGUAAAUGGGCUAUAUGCGAACAGGUCGUUAACAGGCUUUCCAUGGGCCGGCCCGCCACCUUUUGACCAAGUCAAACGGGCCGGCCUUUUCACAGGAAUGGGCCUCUGUUGGGCCGUGCCACAUGUCGACGUAUCAUAGGCGCCUUCUGUCCAAUGAGUGGAUGACAUCUGUCCCAGCGAUGAGCCGACACGUGUUUCCUCCAGCCAAUGAUGAUUUUACACGUGGAAAAUCCCCAUUGGUCGGGGAUGUCAAUGGGUUAUCGGAUCCAAAACCUGACCUGAUAGCUUAACGGUGUUCCGUUACGGUGGAUGCCACAUGUCGGUCACCCUUGACGAAAGCACUUCUGUGACGCGCGAUUUAUCAUCAUGGAAGUAGACACUUCCGUGAUGAUAAUUUUGGUAAUGUCAUGGAACACUUCUACGACAGCACAGGUAUGACUAUCUUGAUUCUGUCAUAAAUUUGUCAUGGAUGUACAUGCAUGACAGAAAACGUGACCUACUGUGACAAACACGUAUCAUCACGGAAGUGUCUUUUUUUGUAGUGAAUCAAUCUUCUUGGAAAUCUCAAGUGGAAGAGCCAACGGAUAACGUUGGAGUGGGGUGGCUAUUUAUAGCUGCAGCCUUCCCAGAUGGGAAAUGACCAUUGGACAUCGGCCUCAGCCUAUGGCCGAAUGACACGAUUCCAACGGUCGGAUUUGAGCACAAUGGUAACAUUUCUUGCGGAGCAAGAAAUGCUAACUCCUCGGUCCGAGGCAAAUCUCUCGCAGCGAAGAAGAUCACAGUCUCUUGCUGGCAAGUAUUUACUCGGAGCACAAAGAGAUUUCUCUCGCAUCUUUCAUAGGUUGUACUAAAGCAUCACAGUAGAUCUAAGCAUCGAGAACCUAUACCACUCUUAAUAAUACGGAGGUCCUAUGACUCAAAAGACUCAAAGAAGAAAAACUCAAUGAAUACUAUGUCUUCAUUUUGUCUUUGACUUUAAUCGUUGCAGUCAUUUUCUUCAAACGACAGUAUCGAAGCAGAAAGCUUCGUUAUAGCAGAAAACUUUUGAGGGGUCAAUUUCUUCACAUUAAUCUUCCCGAUUCUAUCACUUCAGCAGAUAUAGCUCAUUCUUCUCUGCAGCGCAGAUAUGCUUCGGUGAGGUUCCUCGAACUCAGCACCGGAGACAGCAUACUCUUCAGUUGUGUAUGGACUUUUCGCUCUGUGUGCACUAGCAAACAAAUUAGUCCAUACAUGUUUCUGUCAACAAUCUCCAAAACGUAAGGUUGGCACACAUUGCACCAACAAUCUCCCCCUUUUUGGACGAUUGUUGACAAAAUAGAUCACAUCGAAUGAUAGAUAAUGAAUGGAAUGGAAUGUGAAGAAUAAUGAAAUACGAGAGAAGAUUAGAUAUUCUCCCCCUUAAGUUAUGCUUUGGUUUUGGAAAAAAAUAUUUCUCUUCAUUCGAGUGUCAUUGAUAAAGAUUUCACACAAGAGUUCUUUCAAUGAACUCGGCGGUGUCUGAGGUAGUUCCUGUCACAAAAAAACUUCGGUAAGGGUUAGAAGUGAAACAUGGUGAGUUUUGUGACAUGGAUAAAUCAUGAAGGUUUUCUCAUAGCACAAUUUUUGGAUCCACACAAGACAUAGUUUUCCUGCAUGUUAGAUGUAUGAUAUAAUCAAAGCAGAAUCGAAUAAUAGUUCAUAGCUCAGAGUAGAUAAGCUUCGAAGGUGCUUUUCCUUGCGAUAAGAUGAAGCAUAUGAGAUCUGAGAGGAAACACACUUUGUCAGUCAUAGAUAGUCUUCACAAGGCAUUUGUGCAUCGACUCACUAUAUCUUCCUGCAAGGUUAGAUAAUGAUAAAUAGCAAUAAGAGCAUAUCCAACCAUUAUUUGUGAAACAGAUAAUGCUCCAAAAUAAUAUCAUCAUUUGAUUUUGUUUUUCUUCGAGGAGGAUCUAUGUGUCCCUAAAAGAUAGGUAAUCAUCUAUGAUAAUCAUUCACGUCAAUAACAUAUUUAAAGUACCUGCAGACAAAUAAUGCGAAGCAAAUAGCAUUGCAGGCGGGGGUUAUUAUCAUUACAUGACGACCAAAGUUUUAACACCACAUGCGGUGCGAUAAGUUCUUUGAAGCAAACUAUUCGAGGAGAAACCAAAUGAAAGUUUGAAGCAAAACACCCUGCAAACCCCGAUAAACUAUCACUCAAUGUUAUUCUCCCCCUCUUUAUCAACAAGUGUCAAAAAGGAACAAGAGUACACACGAGGAAUUACUCCGAUGGAGUAUCUUUUGAGUCCGAAUUGAAACCACUUGAAGAACCAGAAUCAGAAGAGUGCGGAAUGGUCGAGGCAGAAGCAGGAGUAACAGCCUUGGCUUGGAGGGGCUUCGAAGGAUGUGCAUCUGGCUUGUAGAUUCGGGUGUUGGUUGUGUCUUUGAUUUCAUCAUCAUGGUUGACAAACAAUAGAUCCGUUGAAGCAAAAUGUUGUGGGAGUUCUGGAGUUUGUCUUCGGACACGAGGUACAACAAGCAAGUCCAGAUAAUCAUAAUCUUUGAAGAGGCCCUUCUUGGCUAGAUCCUUGUGAGAGAAAUGCCUUCUCAGCAAGGUCCAUGAUCUCUUCCUUGCAUCCUUCUCAUGCAGAAGAAUUUGCCUGGUGUGGUUAUGAACCAGAUUCAGCUCAGCCAGCAAUUCCGUCUUUUCCUUCCUAUCCACCCUGAUAUGCCUUUCCAAAGUCUGCUGUGUGCGAAUGCAAAUUUCAUACAAUGAUGGAUUUUCCUCUCGAGGAACUUCAACCUUGGCUUCUUUGACCUUCGAUGCAUUCUCAGAUGAUGAAGCAUUUGCAUCAGUAUCAACAAGUUCCUUCCCCUUUCUAUAUUCUUUCACGAUGCGCAGAGUGUCACGGACAGGUGGCAUGAAUACUUUCGGUGCAUAUGCCCAGAAGAAUUUUUCAUUUGUGAGCUACUCAAUUGCAUACAUGAUCCAAGGAGCAUAGGGCUUGAGCGACUGAGGGUUGUCUGCGGCACAUGCCAGAUUCUGAAAGAAAAAGUCAGGAAUGUCGAAUUUGAUUCCCUGAGAGAUUAACACCAGAGCACUUCCCAUGAUGCCUUUGAUGGAGUUGGGUCGGUUGGUUGGCAUAAUGGUAUUGCACAGAACGUGGAAUAGCACUUUGUUGUCGUAGGCCAAAUUCUUCGGGUCAACAUCGAUGCAUUCAUCACCCACCAAAGUGGGAUCUAUCAGGAUAUGGAGUUGUUCAUUAGGCACUUGCCAGAAAUGCAGUCUGUGUUCUCUGAUAUUUUCAAAUUUGCAUUGAGGCAAAUUGAUCAGGGCCAGAAAAUGAUAUGUUGAGCAUUUGAUUCUCUAUCUGCCUGUCAUCACUACAAAAAAAAUACACUUCCGUGAUGAUACGUGUUUGUCAUAGUAGGUCGCGUUUUUUGUCAUGCAUGUACAUCCAUGACAAAUUUAUGACAGAAUCAAGAUAGUCAUACCUGUGCUGUCGUAGAAGUGUUCCAUGACAUUACCAAAAUUAUCAUCACAGAAGUGUCCACUUCCAUGACGAUAAAUCGUGCGUCACAGAAGUGCUUUCGUCAAGGGUGACCGACACGUGGCAUCCACCGUAACGGAACGCCGUUAAGCUAUCAGGUCGGGUUUUGGAUCUGAUAACCCGUUAACAGCCCCGACCAAUGGGGAUUUUCCACGUGUAAAAUCAUCAUUGGCUGGAGGAAACACGUGUCGGCUCAUCGUUGGGACAGAUGUCAUCCACUCAUUGGACAGAAGGCGCCUAUGAUACGUCGACACGUGGCACGGCCCAACUGAGGCCCAUUCCUGUGAAAAGGCCGGCCCGUUUGACUUGAUCAAAAGGUGGCGGGCUGGCCCAUGGAAAGCCUGUUAACAGCCUGUUCGCAUAUAGGCCAUUUACAGCCCGCUAACCCAAGGCUCAUUACGCCCUAUCCGAAUUAGGCCCAAUAGCGUCAUCUGGGCCAUCCAAUAUUUCCAUCCCGUUUUCACUUCUGGCCCAUGUAUGGCCCAUGACGUCUUUCGGCCCAUAUGAGGCCCUAUGUAACUCUUGGCCUAUUAAUGACCCGUGGUGAAACUGGCCCGUAAUGAACAGUGUAUCACUUUACACCCAUUAACGGCCCAUGGUGAAACUGGCCCGUAAUGAACAGUGUAUCACUUUAUACCCAUUAACGGCCCGUUAUUCCGUUGGGCCGUUUCCAGCCCAUGUUAUCUUUCGGCCUUCUCAGAGCCCAUUUAUUCUUGGGCUCAUUUCCAGCAUUCAUUUACUUACGGCCCGUUACUGUCAUUUUCUGCUUGUGGGCCAAAUUCAGCACGUGGUUACAGUCGGCCCGUUUAUGGUCUGUUAAUACGUUGGGCCGUUUUCAUAGCGUCAUCAAAUACGGCCUAUUAACGAUGGCCCGUUAUGGUCGGCCCAUGAACGGACGAUUCCAACUCUAGCCCGUUUACGGCCAUAAUGCGGCCUGUUAUUGGCCCAUGUUUGGCCAAUCGAUCAUACGGCCCGUAUAAGGCCCAUUGAUGAUACUGCCCGUAGAAGGCCUAUUGUUUCUACGGCCCGUAGAAGACCCAUUGUUUCUACGGCCCGUAGAAGGCCUACUGUUUCUACGGCCCGUAGGAGGCCCAGUGUCACUACAGUAAAUAUUAGCCCAUGGUUAUUGUGGCCUAGUUUGAAAAAAUAGGUUAUUGCAGCCACUAGCAAACCGCGGAAAAAGAACUGCACUGACUACAAGCAAACAAAUAAACAAGACAACAAGGAAAUAAAUAAGCAAGCAACUUAUGCUAGGCUAUCACGGCUAUUACACAUAUUACAUCCACUGGGCAUCAAAGUUCGCCACCAGUGAUCAUAAAGCACAACGAAGAAGCAGAUUACAAAAACUGGGCACCAUUGCAGCGUAACAAAAUAAUACUGAACCGAGACCACUUCCAAGACAGUUCAAGAAAGGUUAGCCUUGCGGGGGAACUGCUGCGCAAGCUGCUGAGCAAGGCUGUGAGACCGGCCUAGCAUGUCGGUCAUAGCUUCCAGGUGUAGCUGUUUAGCGAUGAGGUUCUCUUUGGUGUUCUCCGCAAUCUUUCUUAGAGAUAGGACUUCAAGUCGAAGUUGAGUUGCAGAAUGCCUUUCUGCUAGAACUUGGGACUGAAGAAGUCGAACUGAUUCAGACAACGAAUUCUGUGAGCUUGUCUGACUGUUAGUCUCAAGUAACUUGAACACUACAUCAAGACAAGACUUUGGGGUUGUCUCGCUAUCUUCAAGAUGUUUUGCCUUCUUUGCUGCAAUAUAUGUUGGGUUUGUCUCACAGCCUUCAGCAGACUUGUGCAUGCCAUCAGGCAUAUCACCCUAAAACAAAGCAGAGAGAUGACAGGUUUUGCACAUGUAUAAACAAAGAUGAUAACUGUUCUGUCAAUUCUAUCCAAUUUCAAAUUAGAAAAUAAAGAGUAAGUUCAAAAUAUCAAUAACAUAAUUUGGCAUUGUUCAUAAUGCGGGGAGCUUCACCACACUACUAGAUUACCAUGUCAACAUAACAAGCAUAGAUGAAGGGCAAAGAAAAUCAUUGUAUCUAUUUUGGAUAAUGUGCAUGGCAUGUUGUUCAUAUCAUCAGCCACAUCUGUAAGAUAAAACAGGAGAUGACAAGGUGCAAACGUGGGCUGCUUCACCACACACUGGAUUAUAGAUCCACAAAAACAAGCAUACAUAUAGGGAGUAUUAAGUAAUGUGCAUGGUAUGAAUAAGGAAUUUGGUUUUACAAGUAAAACUUAGAACUUACGGUUCUUACGAACAUGCAUUUUGGUAGAAACAGCAAACUAAACAGCAGUAAACGAUAGGGAGUAUGAGCAAAUUAAACAGCAGUUGGGGAUAAAGGCUUUAGAAGGACAGACUUACAUUAACAGUUAACACCGGCUUUAUAAUGGCCUUCUCCAUGUCAAGGGAAGGAUAACUCAAGAAUUUCACCACAGAAUCUUCUUCAUAAGCAUUGCCUGUACUCUACAUUUUGUAGAGAGUAAUUAUAGAUAUGAUAAUACUGGAAGGGAUAGAUGAUAAUGAAGAUAAGAUGCAGAUUGAUGCUACAUAAUCAACUACCAAUCCCUGGAAGUACAAGCGUUAUAGGACAAAAUGUACUGACAAGAGCAAUGGGCUACACUUCUGCACUGGCAUUGUCUGUGUAUUCUACUUGUUGGUAAGAUUAAAUAUAGAUCUGAUCUUUUUUAGUAAAUGGUGGGCGAGGGAGAUAAGAUGCAGAAUGCUACAAAAUGAACCAAUCCCUCUUCCCAUAAUACAAGAGUGUUUUGAACACUGGUGUACUGUACAAAACGUUCUUAUAUUAUGGGACGGAGGGAGUAGUUGUUAAUGUAAGUACAGUGAUAGACCACGUUCAGUCCUUACAAGAGGACUGCAGAGCUAAACCUCUUCAAAAGCAUUGGGUUGAUCCUAAAUUUAUGUAAGAGUCCAUACGGAUCUUAUAAUGUCCACCAAAUGGACGAUUACGAGGCUAACAUGUGCAGUGAUGCUACAUAAUCAAACAACUAUGAAAGUAAGUAUGGUCAUACAGGGUAAGAGGUACUCACAAGAGCAAUGCAGUGUGCACUAUAGUUGCGAGAUUCUGUGGUCCCUUGAGAAUGAAUGUUCUUCUGCUAACAGUUUUCGUACAAGUGAGACAUUAAGGCAAAUGCAGAAAUGUAGUUCAAAUUGUGAUGUGAUAUCAUAGACAGUACCUUACGCUCCAGCCGAGACCAAUGUGUAACAAGAUUAUUCCAGUCGCCGUCGGAUAAAUGUAGCACCGGAGACUUUACAGAAAUUCCAUUCAGAGGCUUGCCAUCGAAGUGCGCUUGCCUCAGGUAGGAACGAUGCCUCAUCAACGAGUGCUUGAAAAGCGCAACCAACCCUUGCUCGUCAUCACAAUCCAGUUUGCUCCUCGCCUAUUUAAAAGAAUGAAAUCUUGUGUCUUCUGUCAGCAGAAACAUAUGCAGUAAUGACCAUGAAUAACAUUAGUACAUUACUUACGCGUAAGUUGUGGGGGAAGACUGGAAAUUUUUCUGUGUCUGCGGUAUAAUCUUUCCAUGAAGGAAAGAUGUGCACAAAGUUCCUGACAACAACAUAAGCUUCGUCUUCUAAACCGGGAAGAAAUGGAACAGGGGUCCUAUUUGCUGCAAUUGGGGCUCUCUCUGGUUCGAAAAGGGAUUUAGCAACUGGAUUUGGUGUACUCUUUGCUGGAAUGGGGGUUUUGUGUCGUACAGCUGGUGCUAUGUCAACUGGCAUAAUCAUACUGUUUGCUGCAGUUGGGGUCUGCUGAGUUGGGGCAUCAGAAAUGACCAGUGUAGUAGGGCUAGAGUCUGCUAGAGUUGGGGUAUUUUGUGGGUCAGGUGAUAUUGCAACUACACCUAAUGGGCUAUUUGAUUUAUCAGGUGCCACUACCUUUUCCAAAUACUUUGCUUGUGCUCCUCCACGAUCAGCAAUCGCCCUCUUCCUUUUGAACGUCUGAUACACAAGAACAGCAUUUGAAUGGAUAAAUAUGGUAUGAUGACAGAUGGAAUAUGUACUGAAAAUGGAUAGGCAGGGCGUAUUCACAUACACGAUGUGUAAACUAAGCUAAUGGCAGUUCAACAAAGUAGAAGCAAUGCAAAGCAUCAGAUGCAAGAUAUGUGCGAGCAAUGUAACCUUGGAAAGUUAGAGCAAGUACCUUGAUGGGUGAAUAAGAUAGGGCAUCUUCCUCUGACUCCUCCACUAGGGAGCUACAUUGACUUAGGUCUCCCUCUAGCUCAGAAUCACUGUUAGGAUCAUAUUCUGAGCAUGAAUCUAUAGGUGGAGAGCGUUUGCAUUGCAUUGCAUCCAGACUUGAUUUCAGUCCCUUAAUGCCAAGUUUGACAGCCAUGGCAUUGUUCUGCUUUAUUCUUUUCAUGCGCGCAAGCUCAUAAUCAUUAUGAUGCUGUUCAGAAUCUGGGAUUCAUGAAAACAUAAAAAGUAGUCAGAUUAUCUAUGGAAUGCAUUGCGGAUUCAACUCGGAGAGUGUCUCCCUAUAAACCCCUGCAUAUGCAAAGUUCACCUCCCCAACCGUGCUGACCAGACCACACACAGAAAUACAAACCCCUUAUGUCUCUAUAACAGGCAGGCACACAUUUCAAAACUGAAGUAGGAACAUUAGAAUCAUAUGAAAUUCGUAUUUGAACAAAUAAACUAAGCAAUUAUGAGUGGCGUAAUGUUUAGCUUCAAGGGUGGAGUGUUGGUAGUGCGACACAAAGCAAGUAGGCAGAUUGUAUUCCAUGUAAAAGAUCGAAACCUAUGUAAAAGCUGGAAAUGACACUUUCUUUCUAUACAAUGCAGUGUUCGUUACCCACACAUGAUGGAAGAGAUCACAUAGAGAAAUACUAUUCACUCAUGUCUACGGUUCCAGUAUUUAGAACAGGGUGGUCCACCCUAAAAGAAUAUUGACAACAAAUAUGACAAGGCAAGCAUAGAUGUAGUGAAUCAAUCAUUUACUUGUGAGCUUACUAGGACAAGUAUGCAGAAUUGUAACUGCAGUAAGAGACCGUCCAAAAUCUGAAUGAAGAAGUUUGUCUAGCACUUAUUGUUUGCAACUAAUCGACGUGAAUAAUUGGAUAUUAUAUCGAAUGAGUAAGAAAGACAAGUAAAAUUGUCAACAAACCUGGCUUGCAGUAGUAAUCUGGGUCAAUGUCACUACGACCAACAAUCCAAAAUGACUAGUUUCUGUUCCGAGGGCCGGAAUUUUGAAAACCCUGUGAACUUUAGAGGUACUAAAGAUUACCAAAAUACAUCUGAACCAUUAAGUGUGGGUAGCACUGAGCACACAACAAACCCUAAUGACAGUCCUGCCUAAUGAGUAAUGAAUCAAUUAGAAAAUGGGUGAUGAGGAGUGGCUGCUGAGUGUUGAGGACGUAUCUCAGGAUAAAUCGGGUUGGCUUGGUGGGUGCUGCACGCCUGAGCCCUAAACGAACUGGGAAGGUAGGCACGGCGGCGCGCCCGGGUAGCGGUGACGCUGUUGGGCGAGCGGCUCCUGGCCUCCUGUUAGUCCGGCGUCUCCUCCUAGAGUCAUGCCGUCUGGGGACGGCAAGUCGCCGGCGAGGCAGGCGGCUGGGGGCGAGUAGAGAUCGGAAGUGCGCAGCAGAACAGAGGGGACUCGAGGCCUGGGACGACCCAAAAUCCCAGGGUGGGCCGGCCCACCGUGGGCACCCUGUAGAGAUACACACCCGAGCGGCGAACAUGCAUUUUCAAAACUAAUUUAGGAACAUUUAGCUGACCAAUUAAACAACUCUGUUUUAAUAAUAUCAGAUUCGUAUUUGAACAACUAAGCUUGUUUAGCUUGAUGGGUGGAGCAGUGUUAUUAUGACACGAAGCACGUAUUCUGAUCGUAUAGUGAUCAUAAAAGGGGGAACUCUAAGCAUAUUUAUUUAGCAAAAGAGGGUUUCCCCUCCGAUUUCUAUUAAAGAAACCACCACGGAACCAACAUGACCAAUUAAACCCUAAGCAUGAUCAAUUAAACCGUAUUAUGGCUGUGCCAUGGCAGAUUUGAAGCUGCAAACCGGAGAAAUGAUAUUUAGCAUCCAUUGUUUGCUUCGAACUAAGAACUAAAUUCUAAGAGCUGAAAACAAAGUAGAGUAACCAAGUUAAGAUCUAUCUGGUUGAGAUCAAAAAGUUGAGGAGAUAUGAAGUACCACCUCUCUUCCGGUGCCGUGUAGGCAUCGGGGGUGCGAUGGCUGUCGGUGGCGUUGAAGCAGAUCUGCGACGGUAGACGGGUGCAUCGGGGGAUAAGUCCCGUUGCGGUGGAAGAGAAGGUCGUGUGAGCGGCCCCGGCAAAGAGGACAACGGCGCCGGUUAAGCGAGAGGACGCGAUGCAAGGCUAUUGGUCUGUCACCGUGGAUGAGAAACGCCCAUCUCUAGCAGUGGACGACGCGGUCUUGGUAGGCGCUCCGGCAUGGUGGAGGACGGUGGCGAUGGAUGUGGUGGAGGACGGCAGCGAUGGAUGGGGUGGCGGACGGAGGCUGGUGUGGGGAUGGGGUGUUCUAGCGUGGACGGUGUAUGAAUGGGAAAAUGGAGGGAGAGGUACGGGGAACCAUGUUUUUGGGACGCGCCUGUCUGAAAUAUGGGAAAGUUACGAACUUAGCCCCCGUUUAAAAUUUGGACGUCUCCUUGGUUGGGGAUAGGACGGUAAUCUCGCAUCUCGCCAAUAUUUGCCCAAAGCGAUUUCGGGCGAGGAGAGGGUGGUUGGCGCCCAUGGUUGGCGCCCACGGUGUAUGAACGGGGCUGAUAGGUAGGGCGGUUGUGUCACGUCUGAGUGAAGUUACAAACCUGCCCCUAUUGAAAAUAUUUGCCUACAUCGAUUUCGGCCGAGUCGAGUUUGUUUUGCCGCCCACCGUGUAUGAAUGGGGAAUGGAGGGAGAAACAGAGGUCUUUCGGACGAGCUUGAAUCAAAUGAGUUUUGCCGCCCAUGUUUGACGCCCACCGUGUCGGAAUGGGCUCAGAGGCGGUCGUGUCAUGUCUAAUUGAAGUUACUAACCUACCCCUAUUUAGAGCAGUGGAAAUCGGGCCGAUGGAUUGUCCGUGUAAUGGGUAGACAGUAAUUUCCAUCUCCCAAAUACUUGGCUUCGGGCAGCCGAUGUGGGAGUGGACAUUUUGCUGCUUCUUUCGAAUUUUGGGACAAUAAGCAUCCACGUUUACCCUGGCAACUAAAUUCGAAUCCAUUUUGUAUUCCUAUAUGAAUCUUUAUAAAUCAUUCUAUGUGUUUUUAUAUAUCUUCAAAAGGACGACAAAGAUGUAUUCCACUGUCAUAUAUGAAUAUGGUUUACAAAUGCCGAUACUCAAAUUCAGAAACUAGAAUCCAGUUUAAGUGAAUUCGAAUAUUUGGAACACUUCAUGUCCAACUCAAAUGUCACACACAGCAUAAUGUGUACUCACAUUUAGAUAUGUACACAAGCGAUGUAUCAAGAUUCAAAUACCGAGUCAAUCAACCAAGAAUGUACAGAACUAACAGACAUAUAAACACUUAUAGAGUAUAUGGAUCAAUAAUAUCAACUAACAUACAUAAGCCAGGCUGCUGUACUUUUUUUGGCUACAACAGCAUCCUUUUUUAGCCAGCAUCUUGGCCCUUUCCGAUGCGUGCCACUUAUGGUCCAUCUAUACUAUUACUAUUGCUGAAUGCACAUUCAGCCCGAUUGGCAUAUUUGUAGGUCUGGCACAGCAAUCCAAAUGAAAUGUCUCCGAGUCUUAUCAAUUAAUACAGACUUGUGCUCAAAUAAAAUUACAAACCAAAAAACAAAAAAAACAAUUAUUACAUGAUCUCUAAAACAAAUGGUUUGAUUGAUUACAUGAACAGACAACACAAAGGUUAUUCAACUAUGGAAAGAACAUUUCACCUAUGAUUUACCAAGUAGGAAUUUAAUUUCCUUUUUUCCUUCAGGACCUUAACAAUCUGGUCAGUCUCAGCUUGCUUCGUUUUGAAAUCCACCAAAUAUUUAAUGGUUGUCUUGAGUACUGCUUGUGAUUGUGUUGUUUGCUUCCUCAACAUGUCAACUUCAUCUCUAAGUGCAGAAGCUGAAUCUCUUUCUACCACUAGUUUAGCCUCUAGAGCAUCAGCAGUUGGCAAUUCAUAAUGCACGAUUGGGCCAGUGCCACUGCUGUGGGAUGAUGCAACGUCCAUGGGGACCUCGCUCUUUGAUCUUGGGCUAACCUGUUUUGCCAUUAAAGUUCCGAUUGGAUUCAGAAAAGUUGAAGUUAGCAAAACAUCUCAACUGGGAGUUAUAACAGCAAACCAGUUAAACAAACAAGGAAUUAAAGAGUUUCAAUUGGAUGUUGAAAAGUAGUUAUUAACAUCAUUGUAACCCGCUGUUGCAGCAGCAAAGCAGUUAAACAAACAAGUAGAUAUUUAAGUUAAGGCAAACAGGUAAUUCUUAACAGUAAGUAUCAAACACAUAGAUAGGCGCAAUCUACAAUAUGAUUAACAGGAUGUGCCAUUAUGUAAUCCGUAGCAAACUAAAUUAAGCCAAGCAACGUAAUUGAACAAUUUUGCAAUGAGUGGCUAACUAAAAUUCCGAGAAGCAGGUAACUGAACUUACGCUAGUUCUUUGUACAGGCACAUUGCAACUUCUUUUUCGCUUACAAGGUUGUACGAAGGAGUCCAUGGCAUCAAUUGCUUGGAUACGCAGUCCCAAUACUUCUUUCUUCCCACACUGCAUGGGUAAGUCGAAUGGUUAAUCUGGUAAGAUGGUGCGUCCUUGAUAUGUUAUAUGAGGACGUGUAGUCAGACUAGUUGUAGCCAAACACAUCACACUAGCUUUUACUGUAUAUUUCAUGUGAUUACUUUUGGCAUAUCGAGAUCUAAGCAAUCUACAAUAGGAUGAAAAGACUGGCAUCCUUCACAUUAUUGGCGAACUCAGUUCAUAGAAACAAGCAAUUCAACCAUUCUGUGGGUAAAUCAAAAGCGCCACUGGAAUAUUUUUCACUAUCCAAUCAUACACGCAAAAAGGGGCGAUGCCACCAUAGGGGCUGGUAUGGGCAGCCGCCUCAGGUGGCUGGAAAGUGUGCACCUAGUUUGAGUCGUCCAGGUUGGCCCACGCUAGUUUUGUUCGUCCCAACGCACGAGCAGGCAAUGUAAAAAAUGAAGAAAAAUGUUUCAAUUUGGAUGGGCCAAUAACAUAAGUGCAAGGCAGGCCCUAUAGCAGGCUCGCGGCCCAAACGAGCGCCUCCCAUAUCGAUCGACAGCAGAAAAAAAAUCCCAAUUCAUUCGCUCCAGCCUCCAGUCUGGUUUGCUCCUAACCUAGCCGCCGCUGGACAGACCGACACAGCACUUCCUCACGCCCUCGUUGGAGGGCGGUCGCCGGGCUUCAAGCGAACGGAAGGACAAGAAGAUGAAGAUCCAACCCUGGGUGUAGCCUGCGUGGGAGGCAGUAGCGGCAGCACAGGCAUGGCAUCGAGCUUGCGCAAACGGACAGUCGCAGCUUGCAAGAGUAGCAUGCGCAAUGAGCAGGUACAUCACAUCCCUGAUUAUAUCUAAUUCAACUCUUCAAUUUCUGGCCAAUAGUUAAACCUGACGGUGUUGUAAAACUGCUUGUAUGUAGGGAAUCUAUGAGAAAAUGAAACCAAUUUCUACUUAUUUUAUAACUCCCCCAAUCAAUACUGAACUGACUAAAUCUGAUGUAUCUAAUCAAGUUUCCGGUGCAAACAUACAAGCUGAUGUUGUUCUUGAGCCUGAAGUGUCUAAUGAACAGACUGCUAAUGAAGGAUUUGAUGCAAACAUUUUACAUGCUCCUGGUGAUGAACAUAUAGUGUCUAAUGAGGGAUCUAAUGCAAGCAUUUUGCAAGCUCAUUGAAGGAUUUAGUGUCUAAUGAUGAUCUACUAUGUUGAGAGAGACAGAGAUUUGCAGGCAUUGAUGACAAGCAAAUUAUAGUGCAUUUUCAUAGCUUGAGGAAACGUCGAGGCCAUCUACCAGAAAGUCCCCGUAUCAUGACAACAUAGCAUAAAUACUUUUCUAAUCUGUUGUUUGAAACUAUUGCCAUACUUGUGCAGGAUAGAUAUAUUGAUAUGCAGUUUGCAGACUGGUUAUACGUGCAAUUACGCUUCGAUAUUUUCAGCCAGAGAACGAAUAAUUCAAGCAGGUACAGACCAUGUUUGUAGUCCUUGUACACCAUUUUGCAUUUUGUGUUUUUUGGUGCUUGCAUCAUUUAGUGUUUAUAAUCUGAACUACUUUGGAUCAUUAGGUGGUUUUCAAAGUGCAUGUAGCUUCACAUUUCUCAAGUUAUGUUGAUUUCCGGAGUGCAAGUGCCUUCGUAUUUUUUAAGUUAAAUGUUCGCCCCUGGUAACUUGAAUUCGUGGAUCAGCCACUGCACACAAAUCAUACACGAGUGCCAGUACGAAUUAAAUGAAAUGCAGGGACUUACGCUAGCUCGUUGUACAGGCUCACUACAGCUCUGCUUGCGCUUGGGAUGUUCCAUGUACAAGUCCAUGUUACCACUUGCUUGGAUGUGCAGGCCUUGUGCUCCUUGCAUCCCCCUCUGCAUUUUUGACACGGCGAAUGGUUGAUCAAAUAAGAGGAAUCGACCUUGAUGUUGUACCGGAGGACAGAUACUUACAAGGUUAUACGGGUGUGCAGGAUGUGUACCAGAUCCCGUAGCGCCGUCAUGCUUCGCUAAAAAUGGAUUUGCUUGUUUCAGACGAUAUCUUCAGAAGAAAUAAGAGUUAAAGUCAGAGUUGCAUAAGCGUGUAAGAUAAGAGAGCAGUGAAAGGAUAUCCAAACAUCAUCGGAACAGUGCACAAGGGAGUGAUGUGUGGAUACCUAGUUCGGGCCGGCGUUUGGGCAUGCUCGCCUAGCUAGAGUGCGGGUCACUUCAGAGCCGUUGAGGGUGAUGCGCUGGCGUUGGCUGGCCGCGCACGGAUGCAGAUCUUGAGUGGCAGCGGAGCGCUACGAUGCGGUGGAUGAGAUCGUUGGUGAAGCCCCAACGGCCUCGGGGGGCGGAGGUGCGACGAUGUGCUUGGUGAAGUAGCCCCGGUGAGCUGGGAGACGGCGUCAGUGAAGUGCACCUGAUGCGGUGGAACUCGGUGUCUGUGAGGCACGUCGGUUGCGGCGGCCGACGUUGUCGGUGGACCACCCGGUGCGGUGGACGAGGGCGUAGAUGAGGUAGCUCUGGUAAGGUGGUGAAGCGCGACCGUCGUCUUCAUCAUUGUCGUCCAGCAUAGAGGUGGGGAACGGUGGGGAAAGAGACGAGACGAGGGGCGAUUCGAGGGUUGGCGGCGAAUUAGGGAUUUGAGCAAUCUGGGCGCGGAAGGGGACGGUGGAGAAGAGAGAUUUUGCAGGGCUGGAAUUGGGGCCGCCAGAUAUUUCAAUCCGAAACGUGGAAGCGCGAACUUAUAUUGUCGUCAUCCUUUUUUUGGGGGGAGGGNNNNNNNNNNNNNNNNNNNNNNNNNNNNNNNNNNNNNNNNNNNNNNNNNNNNNNNNNNNNNNNNNNNNNNNNNNNNNNNNNNNNNNNNNNNNNNNNNNNNNNNNNNNNNNNNNNNNNNNNNNNNNNNNNNNNNNNNNNNNNNNNUUAAGGCACCGAAGCAGCGUCCACCCCGACACGACCCUGGUCUGCCUGGUGCGCCUACAUUUGAGAAUGCAAACGAAUCUUCUUUCAUUUGCAAACGAAUCUGUAUGUAUUACCAUGCCCGUGUUUUCCUUGCAAUAAUUAGUCAUUCGAAACGAGAUACUCCAUCCGUUCACUUUUGUAAGUGGUUUCAGACAACUUAAAAUGAACUGUUUUGCACAUUGUCUGAAAUGUCUUCAAGGGCUUAUAAAAGUGAACAGAGGGAGUACUAUAAAUUAAUUAAUGAGGAGUUAUUUGAAAAAAAUCAACGGUACCCACGCUAAUGUGGAUUAGAGUGUGUGUCACGUAAUUAGUUAUUUGAAUUAGAGUGUGUGUCACGUAGUUAGUUAUUUGAAUUAGAGUGUGUGUCACGUAGAGAUCUCCAAUUCUAACAUGGAUUUCGCAUUUCACUGUAUCCACGCUACAUUUUUAAUACAAAUUCAUACGUAUAUGAUGAACACCAUGGUAGUGAGAAAACUUUUGGAUGGAUUCAAACAUAUGACCUACAAAAUAGCACAACAAACUGAGUCAAUGUCAACUUUUCGAAACUUAGUAUGGCACGAAUUCGAAAUAAUUACCCGUAUGGCUGGUCCUCGGUUCAAAUCUUACAAUGUACACCAAAUUGAAACAUCGAUAUUAAGUCUCGUACUAUGUACAUUCAAAUGUUGUUUUUAGCCCCUNNNNNNNNNNNNNNNNNNNNNNNNNNNNNNNNNNNNNNNNNNNNNNNNNNNNNNNNNNNNNNNNNNNNNNNNNNNNNNNNNNNNNNNNNNNNNNNNNNNNNNNNNNNNNNNNNNNNNNNNNNNNNNNNNNNNNNNNNNNNNNNNNNNNNNNNNNNNNNNNNNNNNNNNNNNNNNNNNNNNNNNNNNNNNNNNNNNNNNNNNNNNNNNNNNNNNNNNNNNNNNNNNNNNNNNNNNNNNNNNNNNNNNNNNNNNNNNNNNNNNNNNNNNNNNNNNNNNNNNNNNNNNNNNNNNNNNNNNNNNNNNNNNNNNNNNNNNNNNNNNNNNNNNNNNNNNNNNNNNNNNNNNNNNGUAUAUCUAGGUCACUCCCUCGAGACUGUCUCACUCUUUCUUCCGCACGGCGGGCCACACUCGCUCAAUCUCGAUCUCUUUAUCUGAGUCUCGUUUAACCUCGUUUUCUUUCACACACAAAUGAUAUAUCUCCCUGUUCGGGCCUCGAUCGACACACUCUAUACUCUCUCACGCAGAUUGUCUAUCUAGGUCAGUCCAUCCAAGCCGCCGCCACUCUUUUGACCUCAUGGUGGGCCACACUCACUCAAUCUCUCUCUCUCUCUCUCUCUCUCUCUCCGUAUGUCUCGAUUGACCUCGCUCUUUCUCGGACAAAAACGAUAUAUCACCAUGUUUGAGCCCAAUUCGACCUAUUCACAUUGUAUACUCUCUCACGCACAUCGUCUAUCUAGGUCACUCUCUCCAACCCGUCUCACUCUUUCGAUCGCACGGCGACCCUAUGUGAUCGGUUGACCUUGCUUCCUCCCACGCACAAAAUAUAUCUACACGUCUGUGACUGGAUCAUCUCUCAAGCUCUAUCUUACAGCCCUGACCCUUGCCAAAAAGCUCAAUCGGACAAUAUCUCUCCAGAGCAUAUAUAUUUGUUCAAUGAAUGUCGGACCACACUCACUUUGUCUCUCUAUCUAUAUGUCUCUCGAUUGACCUCGCUUUCUCACACCGUAUCUUCCACGUGUUGAAGCUACUACCUCUCCAUCCUCGCAAAGCCGGAGCUAUUUACAUUGCGAGGGGCACUCCAACCUUGGAUUAAUUUGUGUAGGCAUUUAUUCCGGUCGGUUUAGAUUAUAUUUUCGUAGCAUUCGGCCCACAACUACUCCAAACACCGUUGCAACCCACGCAACUCCCCUAGUUGAUUUCCCUCUGGCUCGGUCAUCGCUCUCUCGCACGUCCUUUCUCACCUUCAACAUCGCACCAUGGUAUUAUUGAAAAAACUAUGUUGUUCUCUUUAAUUAUUAUAAAUAAGCUACAAAACUACACACCGAUAGUCCACUUGGAAUGGAACAAAUUUCGACCCACAAAUUAAAGUGCUACAAACUACACACCGAGGGGCCCACAUGUCAUGAAACAAAUUUGGACCCAUAUACAAAUUAAAAAAUAAAGGACGAGGAUCGAACAUGCGACCGGGCCUUCAAGCCGCACGUCAAUAGGCAACAUACGUAGAAUAGCAAUGUUUGUUGUACCCCCUUUGUUCACAUAAUGUUUUUAUAUUACCACAGCCUAAUUAAUGGAUAACAUGUAAUAUUAUUUUUAGUACUAUUCGCCUUCACUUACUGGUGGGUUCCAUGUGUGCUCUCUCUCUCUCUCCUCCCCUUCUGCGUUUAGACGCACGGGCAAACAGGAAGAACUCGCGGGCGAUGUUGCCGUUGACCAUAUCUGGAUGCGUUCACAAGUCACGGUACCAGUUUCACGUACUAGCAGCACUGGUCAGUGUGUACAUGCAAUGCACGUUAAUUUGGAAGUAUAUUAAGUGCAUGCGGAUAUUAGCUACUAGGAUAUUAUUUGCGUGUUGUCAUGUGAUUAGCACUAUUUUUGGCAUGAAAUUAACUGCACGCUAAACGUGUUGAGCGCUCGACAUUGAAGCAGUCUAGGUCGUUGGAUGACAAGGAAUACAUGUGGCUUGAUGACAUUUUAUAUUUAAUUUGAUACGGCUCUAGCAGAACAUUCAAUCGAUCAAACCAUACAUUUCGUUCAGUCUGACUCCGACUUUAAAUUAUACGACGAUCGAUAUAAAAUAAACGGAAAUGAUAAACGUUCGGAUUUUAAGCAUGGCAAUCCAAACGUUUUUCAUGGCAAAUUUAGAUUACGCCGCGGCGGCGGGGGCGUCUCGCGGUGGGAAGCGGCUCCUCUACCGUGCUCUGUGUGUCGUCGGGCCACUGACCGACGGCGACGGCGGCGUCUUGCGCCGUUGUUGGCGUACUCCUGGACGUUGGCCUAGCUUCAAGGAAGGCCAAAAUAUUCUGGACUUCAAAGCGAGUCAACUGGCGGGAGGAGGCGACUGGCGUUGGUGCAAGGAAGCGGUCGACGGCGGCCAUCCAUGCCGCUGAGGGGGGCACUGGCACCCGCGCGGGGACAGGCGCUGUCAACGGCGCGGCGGAGACAUUCGUGUGCACGGGCGUGCACGUCAGUGCACGGGCACCGGCACGGGCGUACGCAUCAGUGCACGCGGAGGCGCAUGCGCUGGCAGGUGCACGGGCGCGUGAAAGUCGGCGGGGACCUCGUGGAACCCGUGGGAUCAAGCUCGGCGACAAUGUGCGGCUCCCAGCCCAUCAAUGCCACGGGGAUGGGCGCUGGCGCAGUCGGGGCGACGGGAGCCGGAACGGGAGCGGGGACAGGCGCGGCGUCUUCCCGCAAGGCCAGUUCAAGCUCGUCCCAAAGCGCCUUAUGUUCUUGAGACUCCGGCUGGGUGUCUUCCUCAGGAAACUGGAACACUAAGGGCAGACCAUCGUGAUGCGGCAUGGCGUACGUUUGGGUGUUCUUGAGGCUAGUUGGAGGUAGACGACAGGAGAAUCGGAGAGGAAGAGAGAGGAUUGUAGCGAUACCGGGUAGUGCGGGGUUGAUUUUAAACUGCGGCGCCAGCGACAUUAAAAGUGGGAGCAGUUGGGACGACGGUGGGCGGCAGAGCCUGGUCAAAGGGCUCGCCUCUCGGUGAGCCUGCACAGCGGUCUGCUCGCAUGCCUCCCUGACAGCCGGCACAGCGGUCUGCUCGCACGCCUCCCGUCGACUCACACGCUUGCUCGGACGGCACCUGCCGAUGAGAAGCGGGGACUCGUGGCGGCACGUAAACGCCCACUGUUUCAAUAGUGAAAGCGUUUGCCUUAACGUGACAGGUCUUUGUUCCAAAAUACCUUGGCUCUUCAUUUGUGCAACUUGUCAUAAGCAGCUUGUCUCAAAUUGAAGAAAAAACUUACGAAGUAAUUUUGUGCCAUAUCACGUGACCAUGCUUAGUUUCAAGAAUUUAUGCUCACUUUUGGAUUUUCUGAAAUUUAAGAUCCAGUAUUCGAAACAAUAUCAUAACCUGCAUCAUGCAAUAAAUUUUCAAGCCAUACAUAUGUCCUGUUGUAUUUCUUAAGAAAGGAUUUGGUCAAACGUUUUGCUUAGUUAGACUUCAGACAAGUUAUAUAUGCAGAGUAAAAGGAUAAUCCCUCCGUACCAGUGCAUUGCCUGAUAUAUUAACUCAAGUACUAGGCACGAACAAACGGGCUCAAUUCUGUGCUCAUCCUGGUGUAGUAGUAGUACUAGGCAAUGCAGUUGACGGGUGACCUUGACGAGCGGUGACCGAGGGAAUUGAACCGUGCUCGGCACGGUAGGUAAUGUUGUCUAGUUACUAAAGCAUCCCUCCGUUGUUCAUCGGUAGUCAUUAUGGACCGGGGACAUGAGGGGAAUUUCCUAGGGCUGGAAUUCUGGCCGCCAGAUAUUUCUACUUGAAACGCUUAGGCUCGACUGGUUGGGAUUGCCUAAUGUGCGUACCACGCACGCCACCGAAGGACACGAGCCCGGUUUUUUUUAGGAUCAACACGAGCCAAGGUCUGGCUGGUAUGCCGUUGGGUCCUACCAUUCAAGAAUACGAAAGGAACCUUUUAAAUUGCCGAACGAAUCUAUGUGUAUUACAAUACCCGUAUUUUCCUUGCAAAUACUAAUCUCAAUGUGGUAACUGAUUUAUGACGAGUUGUUGAAUUAGAGUGAGUUUGUGAUAUAGUGAUCUCAACGUGGAUUUCACAUUUCAUGGUAUCCCUAGUAAGUUUUCCAAUGCAAAUUCAAAUUUAAAAGAUGAACAAUAUGGAGGUGAGAAAACUUUGUAUGUAUUAAGCAUAUGACCACACACACACAGAGACACACACGCACGAACACAACAACAAUCCAAUAAGUAUAGUGCAUCUAUUUUUCCAAACCAUGCAUGUAUGACACGAAUUCAAAAAUACUCCUUCUAUUCCUAAAUAUUAGUCUUUUAGAGAGUUCAACAAGUGACUACAUAUGGAGCAAAAUGAGUGAAUCUAGACUCUAAAAUAUGUCUAUAUACAUCUGUAUGUGCCAGUCCAUUUGAAGCCUCUAAAAAGACUAAUAUUUAGGAACGAAGGGAGUAAAAUGUAAGACAUCCAUGGUCCUCAGUUCAAUAUUUAAAAUGAACAUGAAACUGAAACAUGAAUAUUAAGUCUAGUACUACAGUACAUGCAAAUGUUGUGUUUAGGCGAAGCUAUGAUUGUCGGGGGUCAACCCCUCGACCUUAGAUAAAAUUGUGGAGCUCUGUUUAGGGUUGUUUAGAUUAUAUUUGUCCCCACCCUCCCAACCACCGAUUGGUUGUGCACCCCCCACCCCUCCUCCCCGAGAGAAUAUCAUGUGCCCCCAUACCUUAGAUGCUAUAUGUUGAUACGAGUUGCUUGGAGCUUGUAGAUCUGAGAUAUAGCAGCUCACAUGAUGUGUCUUAAUAUUUUUGCAGGAAACCUUGAUGAGUUUGAGAAUUGCACACAAUNNNNNNNNNNNNNNNNNNNNNNNNNNNNNNNNNNNNNNNNNNNNNNNNNNNNNNNNNNNNNNNNNNNNNNNNNNNNNNNNNNNNNNNNNNNNNNNNNNNNNNNNNNNNNNNNNNNNNNNNNNNNNNNNNNNNNNNNNNNNNNNNNNNNNNNNNNNNNNNNNNNNNNNNNNNNNNNNNNNNNNNNNNNNNNNNNNNNNNNNNNNNNNNNNNNNNNNNNNNNNNNNNNNNNNNNNNNNNNCGGGAGAAUAUCAUGUGCCCCCAUACCUUAGAUGCUAUAUGCCGAUACGAGUUGCUUGGAGCUUGUAGAUCUGAGAUAUAGCAGCUCACAUGAUGUGUCUUAAUAUUUUUGCAGGAAACCUUGAUGAGUUUGAGAAUUGCACACAAUUUGUACAAAAACUACUUAGAUGCCCUUUGAUCCCAUAUCCAACGACCUCAAAGCUCGUAUCACCGUAGCAUCUAAGAUGAAGGAGGACAUCAUAUUCUCAUGUAUGUAAGAAUAUCAUGUGCUACCACACCUUAGAUGCUUUGGUGAUACAAGCUCUUCGGAGGCGUUGGAUUUGUGACCCAACACCUCCUCGGUGGUUCAAAUGGUUUUUUGCAGAAAAGCCCCAAAAGAGUUCGGCCACUGCUUACAAGCACAAAGACUGCUCAGAUGCCAUUGGAUCUCAGAUCAAACAACCUCCAAGCUCGUAUCACCGUAGCAUCCAAGCUGCGAUAGCACCUUAUGUUUUCUCGCACGGGAGAGUAUGAGGUGCUCUCGCACCGUAGAUUCUAUGGUGAUACGAGUUCACUGAGAUCUAACGGCCCACAGUAGGAGGUUUGAAUGUUUUUGCAAUAUACGACUGAUAGAGUUUGGGAAAUGCGCAGAAAGUACAAGUACUACGUAUGUGCCAUCUGAUCACUGAUCAUACGACCUAGAUGCCCAUAUCACCGUAGCGGGUAAUUAAGCUACGGGGAGCACCUAAUAUGAGCACCGGGGAGCCGUUGGAUCGAAGAUGCAGCGGCACACACGAGGCCUGAAUGUUUUAUUUGCAAAAAAAACCUUUGGAGAGUUUGGAAAUUGCGCAUAAUUACAAAGACUACUCCCAAGCCAUUGGAUCUCACUUCCAACGGUGUAAAAACUCGUAUCACCAUAGUAUCUAAGCUGCGGGGUGGAUGUGAUAUUCUAUGCCGCUGUCAUUUUUGUUCGUAAACUUGCAAAAUACGUGUAACUCGUGCCGUUACUUGUCUAACCGCGCAAAGUGUUUGUUCAAAAAAACCAUCCUACACUGAAAUAUCGGAACAACACACGGGGGUCCCACUUGUCAUUAAUCAAAUUUGGACCUAAAACUAACAAAUCUGAAAGAUGAGAUUCGAACUGGCAACCUGGACUACAAAGCGUAAGUCGAUAGCCUGAAAAAAUGAACGGUUGUUGGCUUUGUCCCAUAACUUGAUUUUAUACAGUACUUGCGUUGAGUAGAGUAGAGGGAGUGCCUCGUCAACACGUGCAUGACCGUUGUCUCACUUACUGGUGGGUCCCAGGUCUGCGAUCUCAAUCUCUCUUCUCUCCAUCGUCUAACCUUUGCACGGGCACACACGAAGAGCGACGCUAGCUUGCCGUGGUGUUAUUACAACUAAAAAAAGCUUGGAAAAUAGAAGAAUCGCCUAGAACAAGAGACGUUGUGGCUGGUCGAGACGGAGCUAACCACAUCUAUCCUCCAUGCCACGUUUGCGUGAUGAAGCUGUGUGGCUAGUGGGGUGUUUUCGACCGACUGGCUGGGUCCCGAGGUCGAACCAUAGGUACUACGUCUGAUACAGUAUAUUUUUACACGCACAUUUUUCCUCCGUGCCGAGACGUGGCACACCCUACCGCGCGGUUUCGGGGUCCUCCCGGGUGGUGCACGCAUAUAUUCUUCCUGACGUGGGACGCCCUACCACGCGUUUUCUGGGUCCUCCUCGGUCGUAGCGCCGAAGCAAGUAAAUGAGUCAUCAAAUCACGAAAGACCACCUUUCCCGCCGAGUACAUCAGUGAAGCACGGUGGCUAGCUAGUUGGGCUAGUUCGACCGAUUAGCUAGGCCGCCGCCACAUUUGUUUUUUCACCCCUUUUUUUAUCUACUUGCCGGCAGGUAAAUUUAAAUAUCCACCGCGGCGUUGCUCUGGUGUUUGGGUGCGGCAGGAUUUUUAAUUUUUUGAUUGACGGGAGCAGGCGCGGCAAGAUUUUUAAUUUUUUGAUUGACGGGAGCAGGCGCGGCAGCAAUUAGUCACGAUGACUCCGCCUGUAAAAACCCACUGCUCCCUGAUGUGAGAAGUCGUCGACUGGUGUUUUACCGUGGUGAAAACCAAAAGAUUCCCCGCUCCCUCCGCCUUCCCGUAGAUUGCAUUGCCUUUCAGCCGUUUUGCCCCCUUUGCUUCCUCUCCCCAUUGCUUCUACCUGGUGCCAUGGCGGCGCAGCAGAUCACGGAGUCCGAGGUGAGGCGCCUGACACAAGAGCUUCAUGUCAAGGAUGCGGAGCUCAGGGCCAAGGACGUGGAGCUCCGUGAGCUCAAGGAGGAGAGGAGUGCCAUGCUCCUCCGUUAUGUGCGGGAGUUCACGGAGCUUCAAAAGCGGCAGGCGUCCACCACAAAGAUGCUUGAGGCGUCGGCGGCGUUGCUGCAGAAAGCGGGAGAUACGAUAGGCCGUCAGGGGAGCCGGCUGGAGCGCGAGCGGGCCGAUCGUGACGAGGUCCAGGAUCGCCUCAGCCACUUGGUGAACCAAGUUGCCACGCACAUGUUGCGGCUGCGCGAUGCCUACCGUCGUGCCAGCGCGACGAUGCCGGCCGUCGGGCUAAACCCGUUCGACCACCCGGUCGACUUCAACGAGUUGCGGCUUCCUGACCUGGUCUCCUUCUUCACCUAUAUCUCCGAGGAGCUGAGCCGUCUCCGCGCGAUGGUGGGGGCUGAGCUGGACAAGGAGGGGUUGCGGGCUGCCUUCGCCGUUGCCGGAUGAAUCCUUUCAGGGCUCCGUCACCGGAAUCCAUUCGUGCCAUUGGACGCCGUCUUUGACAAGCUGGCUCCCAUCGACCGGGAGCGGGCUCUGCGGGCGGUUGCUGUUGGGGAUCGUAGCAGAAAUUAAAAUUUUCUACGCAUCACCAAGAUCAAUCUAUGGAGUUUACUAGCAACGAGAGGGGAGGAGUGCAUCUACAUACCCUUGUAGAUCGCGAGCGGAAGCGUUCAAGAGAACGGGGUUGAUGGAGUCGUACUCGUCGUGAUCCAAAUCACCGAUGAUCCAAGCGCCGAACGGACGGCACCUCCGCGUUCAACACACGUACGGAGCGGUGACGUCUCCCAUGCCUUGAUCCAGCAAGGAGGAGGGAGAGGUUGAGGAAGAAGGCUCCAACAGCAGCACGAUGGCAUGGUGGUGGUGGAGUGACAGUUCUCCGGCAGGGCUUCGCCAAGCACACGCGGAGGAGGAGAGGUGUUGGGGAGGGGAGGGGCUGCGCCUUGGAUGUGGUGUUGCAGCCCUCCCCUCACCCCUCUAUUUAUAGGGAGAAGGGGGAAGGGGCCGGCCCCUCUAGAUGAGAUCUAGAGGGGGGGCGGCGGCCAAGGGGGGAGGGAGCUUGCCCCCCAAGCAAGGGGGGCGCCCCACCUUUAGGGUUCCCCCAAACCCUAGGCGCAUGGGCCCUAGGGGGGUUGGCGCCCAGCCCACUAAGGGCUGGUUCCCUUCCACCUACAGCCCAUAAGGCCCUCCAGGGCAGGUGGACCCUCCCGGUGGACCCCCGGAACCCCUCCGGUGGUCCCGGUACAAUACCGGUAUACCCCCGAAUAUUUCCGGUGACCGUAUGGUGACUUCCCAUAUAUAAAUCUUUACCUCCGGACCAUUCCGGAACUCCUCGUGGCGUCCGGGAUCUCAUCCGGGACUCCGAACAACAUUCGGUAAUCACAUACAAACCUUCCUUAUAACCCUAGCGUCAUCGAACCUUAAGUGUGUAGACCCUACGGGUUCGGGAAUCAUGCAGACAUGACCGAGACACCUCUCUAGCCAAUAACCAACAGCGGGAUCUGGAUACCCAUGUUGGCUCCCACAUGUUCCACGAUGAUAUCAUCGGAUGAACCACGAUGUCGAGGAUUCAAGCAAUCCCGUAUACAAUUCCCUUUGUCAAUCGGUACUUUACUUGCCCGAGAUUCGAUCGUCGGUAUCCCAAUACCUCGUUCAAUCUCGUUACCGGCAAGUCACUUUACUCGUUCCGUAAUGCAUGAUCCCGUGACUAACUACUUAGUCACAUUGAGCUCAUUAUGAUGAUGCAAUACCGAGUGGGCCCAGAGAUACCUCUCCAUCAUACGGAGUGACAAAUCCCAGUCUCGAUCCGAGCCAACCCAACAGACACUUUCGGAGAUACCUGUAGUGCACCUUUAUAGCCACCCAGUUACGUUGUGACGUUUGGUACACCCAAAGCAUUCCUACGGUAUCCGGGAGUUGCAUGAUCUCAUGGUCUAAGGAAAUGAUACUUGACAUUAGAAAAGCUUUAGCAAACGAACUACACGAUCUAGUGCUAUGCUUAGGAUUGGGUCUUGUCCAUCACAUCAUUCUCCUAAUGAUGUGAUCCCAUUAUCAAUGACAUCCAAUGUCCAUGGUCAAGAAACUGUAACCAUCUAUUGAUCAACGAGCUAGUCAACUAGAGGCUCACUAGGGACAUGUUAUGGUCUAUGUAUUCACACAUGUAUUACGAUUUCCGGAUAACACAAUUAAAGCAUGAACAAUAGACAAUUAUCAUGAACAAAAAAAUAUAAUAAUAACCAUUUUAUUAUUGCCUCUAGGGCAUAUUUCCAAUAGUUGCACCCUGCAUCACCAACGUCGUGCGCCUCAAGAAGCAGAGGGACUUCGGUGGUGUUUAGGCGCCCUCUGCAUGGGCAUGUCCAUGUCUCGGCGCAACAUGACCGUUGGAUCAAACUCAGACGAUGCAGAUCAGUCACUGUAGCACAAAGCGUGUGGGUGUGUUUGGUUGCAUUCUCACCUCAAUAUAGUUGUUUCCUCUUCGUGUAUUUUUGUCAACCUACUAGUGUGGACUCAUGCACCCUUCAUGCACUCUGCCAAACACCCAAAAGUGGGCCGAGAAGGGAACUUUUGCUCCCAUCCCGUGCACCCUUCAUACACCCUGCCUAACACUAUCCGUGCUUCAUAUGGUUCAUGUUUCGUGGAGUACUGUAGCACCGUACUCUCCGUGCGCUGUGGACCUAGUUCUGUUAACAUUGAUCUCACCGUUCAUUCUCGACCGGACAGUCGAAAAAGCGGUACUAUGUUACAUAUAGGAGUAGUUGACAUGCGCACAACAUCAUUUGUUAUCCUCAUAUCUUACUACACUGGCAACAAGAUUGUGUAGUACUGACGUAUGAACCACUGCACAUGCCUAGUAGUAGGAGCACUGUGUUUGUUCAAGUGGCUGCCGUGUUUCGCACUCCUCCGUCGUAAGAGUGGAAACGCUUGCUGUAAUCAUUUUUUUCUUCAGAAAAACAGUGGACACGCUCUACCGUGUGGAUCCUCCUCCAGCCAUGCACUAAAUUACUCACUUUCGCCGACAUGUGGGACAGCCAGCACCUGGGUCCACUAGCCAUGCACUAAAUUACUCCGUAGUAGAGUGAUGGUAGAUUACCCCGAUCGAACCGCCGCAGUAAUGCCCAAUGAGCCGUCAAAUCACAAAACCCCCUCCUUUCCAGCAGUAAGUUGGACGGACGAAGCAAUCAUCAUUUCACUCUUCUCUCUCAGCUUCCUCUCUUGAAGAAAACCCCCACUCACUUCGCUUCUCCCUCAUCUCGUUCCUCCUUUCACUCUUCUCUCUCAGCUUCCUCUCUUGGAUGGACGCCGGAGCACCGGCAGACGUGAUGUCUAUGGCUCUGGCCAAAACCGUCGAGGCUCAUGGUACGAAGAAGCGCAAGCACCCCGCCGAGACUACCGCAGACAAGCUCAAAGCCAUCGCCCUAUCCAAGCCCCCCUCUCCGGGAUCCCUCAUUAAGAAAGUCCAGGUAAUGUCUCUUGUUGACGAUCUUUUUCUCGAUCUUGAUCGUGUUUUUUCAUCUAACACACAGUACUAGUACUGGUAGUACAACUUUCUGGGUGAUCUUGCAUGUGAUUUUAGUGUGCCAAAUGACGGUUCUAAAUUCCUCUUUUGACCAAAACAUGCGAGAGGUUGACACUGAUUUCUUAUAGAUUACUUUCAACUACUCCCUCUGUCCCAAAUUUCUUGUCUUAUAUUUGUCUAGAUACGGAUGUAUCUAAUACUAAACUGUGACUUGAUACAUCCGUAUCUAGACAAAUCUAAGACAAGAAUUUUGGGACAGAGGGAGUACUUUAUGAACAUCAAUGCUACCUUUUAAGAGGGUACAUUUGCCUCAGUAACUUGUGUUAUGGAUAUUGCAUGUAAUCCCUCUGCUCUCAUGCCUUUGAAGACAUGUUCUAGUGUCUUUGUUCACUCAUUUCUGUGCGUAUAUGUAGUCAUAUAUGGAGUAUAAUAUCAAAAAUCAUCUUAUAUUUCUGAAUGGGGGUAGUAAUAAAAUAUGGUUUCUGUUUGAAUUAGAACCAGGUCCGCGGUGGAGAUGAAGUUCUCAAAGUCAUGCCGUGUGAACUGGAAGACCUGAUGAUGAGUUCUACUGCUGAACUAUCCAGCCGCUGUGUCCUUGUCGCCACGUGUCCUGAACUAGUGUUUUCCUGUAGCAUUGUUGUCAGGCGUGUUCUCGAGGCUGUACUUGACCACAACAAUUUCCUAGCUGUGCCUUCGAUUACGAAGGGUGUGGUUCUUGUAAAGCUUCCAAACAAAUCUGAUGCGGCCUGUCUUCAUCAUCAUGUUUAUGAGUGGAAAGACCGCUCUGUUAGGUUCUCCAAGGUUGACAAGAUGGUGAUGGUGCAUGUAGACAUCUCACACAAAGCCCAUGGCCUAGUCAGUUAUGCGGGGUUCAUCCCGUAGGUCGGUGGCAAGAAAUAGUCUGCAGAGUUUAGUUAGUGCAACUUUGCAUGUCUGUAGUAAGUACUAUUGUUCAGUACUUGAUUUGUGUUUGUGAACCCUGUAUUCUUUAUUAGUACUGCCGCUUUUGGUGUGUGAACGGUCUAUGUUAAUGUCUGUCCACUCAAUUCAGUCUGUAUAUUUUGAAGUAUCCAGAUCAUAUUUUUUGUGAGGACGGUUUAUCAAUUAUGGUUACACUCCAAUAUCUGUAUGCAUUGCAGGGUUUGUCGCACCCACCAGGAUUUCCAGUCCCAUGGAUGUUCGGUCCAUACGAUUUGUCACGACCUUUGGACUGUCCUGCUUGUGGGAGUAGGCGGGGCCCCUGCAUGCCACCCGUAGUUGGACGAUCAAUCUUCUGUUUAGUACUUCAACAUAGUGAUUUCCUGGUAAGGAUUCACUCAUGUCACAUCAAGUAAAUCUUAUUGAUUUACUGUCUAAAUCUUAUUGAUUUAAUGUCAUGUUUUCUUUCUUUUCCUGCAAUUUUACGAUGCAGGUUUUGCCAUGUGACAUUCAUCACAGAAUAAACCGUUUGGUUUGCUCUACGAUGGCUAUUUUUGCAGGUUUCACUUCUUAUGUCGUGUCAGUAACGAAGGCACUGUCCAUCACUUAUAUUACUGAAAAAAAUUGGAUCAGUCUGUUGUCUGAGUACAAGCUGAAUCCCUAUGAUGAACUGCAGUUUGAUUUAACAAAAACGCCACAAUUAGUCCUUCUCGCGUUUAAAAGAAAUGAAGAAAAAAACUGGAUCACGGUCACGGAUCCUAGUCAAGUUAGAAAGCUGAUCAUAGCAGACCAGACACGAUCGCCGCUGUCUCGCACAGAUCGAGCACCGGCAGUUGCUCUAGCACUGACAGCGGCAGCGGCUCAGUCUGAUCAAGCUGAGGAUUGGGCACCGACCGCGUCAGUGGAUCAGUCUGAUCUACCGGAGGAUCGGGCAUCGACACCGGCACCUGCUCCGACACCGGCACCAGCUCUACAAGGAGCACCAUCUCCAGCAGCAGCAGCGGCUUCGGCACCUGCACCAACACUUGCAUCUGCUCUGGCCCGUGCAGUUGCACCGGCAACAGACUAGGCUGCAGUUCGCACUUCAUAUACCAAAGUCCUUACAAAAACCGACAUGUCCACCUUCCUGGUAAGCAUUGGCCGCCCAAGUGCUUCGUUCUUUUUUCUUUCCAUGUUGUUUCACAUGAUUCACUGUGUUGAUCUAACUGUUUGGGUAUGUCUUCUUGUUUGCAAACAGAGAAUUCCUAGAGCAACGAGGGAGUCGUUCAACAAUCCGGGCGACCGCGGCCAAGUUUCUCUUACCAUGCGCAGCCUUGGUGUGAAUGAACCUGCUCAAUAUACCGUAAGUACAAAGCAUGGUCGCAUGAUGAUUGAUGCUAAAGGAUGGUCAAGGUUCAAAUAUAAAUCAUAUCUUGCGGUAGGGGAUGAUGUCAAAAUCGAACUUUCUCGGCAAGGAGAGCUGGUCCAAAUCAACUUUGAAAUUCUUCAGUAGCAGCACGCAACUGCCGAACUGAUCUAUCCUCCGAGAGAUUUUGAUGUAAUAAUCUGGCAUGGUGAAACAAGUGUCCUGUGUGUAUAAGUAGUACGACAGUAUUAUUUAUCACAUGGUAUAUCGUUGAUAGAAUUGCAACUCUGAUUGCUGGUUAGGAACUGUCGUUCGAUUUCAUUCCAACAGCUGUCGUGCUUUAUUCAAUUUUGUGUAUUCGCCUUGCGACAGCAUCUAAAACCAGUGCCGUAUCGAUCGCUUGGAAUAUGAAAAGCGCUGAGGUAGAACACAUGGGCCCCCAAACAUGCAGGGUCGGCCUGCGGCCCAAAGUCCAGAACCGUGAGCCUAUCUGAGUAUUAUAUUCUCAGCUGAACCCCCAUAAAAAAAGCUGAACCCCCAUAAUGCCCGUGCGUUGCAGAGGGAGUAUAUUUCUCGGCAAGGUCAGCCUGUGAUAUAAAAGAUUUGUAUAUUUCUUUACAGAGGGAGUAUCUCUCUGUCAAAAAAUAUAUUUAUGUGUAACUAGUUACUCCUGUCUUUCUACUUCCUUUCGCUGAUAUGUGGGGCAACCGGCAACGGGGUCCACGUGCCAUAUGCACAAAUUAGAGUGCACAACUUCACGGUAGACACACCCCGGUCGUAGCGCCGUAGUAAUGCCCAAUGAGCCGUCAAAUCACAACCCCCCUUUCCAGCUUUAGCAGUAAGCUGGAUGGACGAAGCGGCAAUAUUUCACUGGGCCUGAAUCCCCUUCUCCCUUGUCUGCUUGUUCAGAGAAAACCCCCUCUCGACGAUUGCAUAGGGUUUUCUCAUGGAGAACCAGGUACGAAUUCUUCAUCCAUCCCCAAUAAAUCCAAGUCCCUUGGUCGCAGGUAAUCCUAGGAUGGCAGCCGCCACCGUUGAUGCAUUUUUCUUCCUACUGAAUCUAGUGUGUUUCAUUUGCAGUGCCCAAAGUGCGAGUACCCUACAGGUUUCUGCGCCCUCGGCGAGACGCCACACUUGUUCCUUCUCAUCCUAACACAUCAUUUUGAAACGCGCACAGUAUGUUCCUAGAAUCCUCUUUUCUAUCCGGGAGGGUGGGGGUUUUUUGAACAUGCUGUGUUCUCAUAUUAUUUUUCCUCUAGUGUAUUAUUUGCUCUGCCAGAACACAUGUACUCAAGAUGCUCGGCCUUGCCAUAACUGAAUACACUAGUUUAAUGGUCACAGUGAAGACAAGCCAUGGAUAUAAGUUCCGAGUUGGGUUCAUGAACCAAGAAGAUCGCUGCUUUUUUAUGGCCGAACUUGGAUAAACUUUCUCAAGUGUUACGGACUGAAAGUUGGCGCACGAAUGUUGAUGGAAAUAGCAGAACCUGGUCUCAUCUUCACUGUGAUCUUCCACCCCGACGUCGUUCCAAUUGUUCAUCCAUGUUAGUUUUGUAUCUGGUUCUUGCUUGUUGCCUCGAUUACUUCUUAAUCCACCUAUUUUGUCUAACUAAUCACAAUUUAACUUUAGAAGUAGCAACGAAUCUCUCACGAAGAUGCUACUUCUAACUAAUAUUUUCUUAUAAUUGGUGGCACGUGUAGGUUUUUUCAGAGUUAAGCAGUCUGCUCGUUUGUUACUCUGUAAUAACUCGGCUGUUACUAAUGGCACUGAAGUUGACUGGAUCGACAUCCACAAGUUCCUACACUUUAUUGAUCGUCUUGAGGUCCUUGUGGCGCGUUUCAAUGGUGGAAGGCCACGUGGGAUAUGUGUGCCACUGCUGCACUCGUUGAACAGGUCCAACUGUGUCGAGAAACUUAUGGUACGAGUUGUUUUCUGUUAUAUAUAUUGUUCAUAAACUAUUGCUUAUACACAGUUUUACAGCUGUGAUCUUCUUGAAACAGGAACUGCCGAGUUCUAUUGUUCCUAUACAGAUGCCUGACCAUGGUCGGGUCAGACUUGCGCUUGGUCACAACAUGAUGUUUAUGUCGACCUACUCAAUUCCCCUUGGAGGUGAAAAGAUACUUAUUCAUGGGUGGUCUCAAAUAAUGAAGGCCCGUCCAUCUUGGAGAAUAGGACAGAAGAUUAUGUUCAUGCUUUUCCAUGGCUCUAAAGCGAAUAUCCUGUUUUAUUGACCAUGUUGCGAGAUGAAGCCGAUUUCAGAAGGUUGUGGAUGCGCGGGGUGGCGCCUAGGCCUUGUCCUGGUGCUUGGCGGCCUCACCCUUGGUUAACUGUAGGCAAAGUAGCACUAUUCGAGGCGUGCUUUGUACGGUUGAACCUGUAUAAGUACUCAUACUGCUUUCAGCUUUGGUUGUUAAGUGCCCCUGCUGGUUUCAGUUAAGGUUGUUAAGUACUCCUGCUGCUUUUACAGUCUGUCGUGUUUCUUCAGUCCUGUCUUCCUCCAGCCGCCAAAACCAAACCAGCGCCGGUGGGGCCACCUGCUUUCGCCUCCCACAGCUGGAUGCGCCUCAGCACACGCAUCGCCGCCCCACCGUCUCCUAAAUCAUUAGCGCCGACGUCCUCUGUGCACUUUGGUGCGCUCGCCGCGGCGCCGCCCUCUCGCGUUGUCAACAUGGUCAACAAACAACAGGAAUCGGCAGAAGUACGUGGAGGGGAUGACAGUAGGGGCCCACCACGUCAGCAUAUGGAAAAAUAAAAUGCUUCCUCCUAGUGUUUUCCUGACAUCUGGGACCCACGACAUUGUGAGUGUAUAUAGUCAAUAGACAAGAGAACAGCACAAGAUCGGCUGACACCUGGGACGUAGCUACUCGAGCAGUAUUUUUUUUGUUUGGUAUUGUUGAGACGGAGCAGGGUUUGAACUGGGCUGUGGCCCGUCUAGCCCAGGCUUAUAUUUUAUGUUCACCAUGUGACCAGCCCAGCUAUUUUUUCUUUGUGAAAAUGAGCCCAGUUUAUUUUUUCUGAAGAAUACCCAAUCCAGGCCUACUUAUUUUUCUACGCCCUGAUGGGCUGCAACUCUUUCAAGACGCCUGCAAAUCUUGAAAGUAAUAUGAAAUGGGUUGUAAAUAUAAAAACAGAUGACAAAUUGGCAAUUACUUUAUAAUUUCUGAUUUUUUUCACAUUUUCAUAUUCCUAUUUCACUGGGCAUUAACCUAAUUUAAUAUAUCUUCAAAGUACUUUAAAUCUGGCCCGACAUUUCAGUAUUAAAAAUAGUUUGGAACCCACAGAAAUAUGCGAAAUUGGACCUGGCCAACCAAAAAAAACGACUGCAAUAAAUUGCAUAAGAAGUUGCCAUGAGCUAUAUAUAAAUUAUUAAAAAAAGAGGGAGUGGUCUGACUUGUGGGCCUGUUUAGUUGACGCGUAUGCAAGAUUUUUUUUAGUUAUUAUAUACGUCAACAAACGAUUCUAGCAGACGUAACCGUUGGAUGUCAAUCCAACGGCCAUCGUGUUUCUUCAAUCUCUGAUCUUCUUGCUCCAGCCGCCAAAGCAGCGCCGGCGGGACCGCCUACUCCUGCCUCCCGUGGCCGGCUGUGCUGCCGCGCAGGCCUCAGCGCACCCUACUACUCCCACCGCGGGCCAGGGCAUCCCUCUACUCACCCACACCCCCUGUUAUUCUGCGGCGACGGCAGCCUCACACCGCAGCCGAACCGGUGAACCCUCGUACUCCUCUCCGCGCGGGCUUCCACUGCCGCGUCUUCCCCAGCUCCGCGUCGUCCCCUUCCUAGGCCUCGUCGUCGUCCACCACCGUGGUGCUCUCGGCACGGCGUGGUCAAUGUGGUCAACGACCGACUUCCAUCAGAAGAGUACUGUACGUGGAGAGGCUGACAGCUGGGUCCAUGGCAGCCGCAAGGAAGUGCCUCCUUAUUACGCAGAAAAUAAUUAUUCCUCCACCUGACAGCAGGGACCCACCGGACAGGCCACCACUAUUUCGUGAAAAAAAUGUUUCCCCUGACUGCUGGGACCCACAGGACGGGCCACCGUAUUUCGCGAAAAAAAGUUCCCCCCGCUGUCAGCUCGGACCCACCGGAAGUGCCUCCUUAUUACGCACAAAAAAAUGAAUACCCCCCUGCUAGCUGGGACCCACCUUGGUGGGAGGCUGACUUGUGGGCCUACUAAGUUGACUGGGAUGGAGGCCUUUGUCAACUUUAGUCAAUGUAUGAACGAUUCUAGCUCCAGUGACCGUACGAUGUCCAUCCAACGGCCGUAGUGCUUCUUCAACCUCUGGUCUUCUUGCUCCAGCCGCCCAAAGCAGCGCCGGCCGUGCCGCCUGCUCCUGUCGCCCGUGGCCGGCUGUGAUGCCGCGGAGGCCUCACCACCCCCUACUACACCCACCGCUGGCCAGGCCAUCCCUCUACGCACCCACACCCCUUGUUAUUCUGCGGCGACGGCAGCCUCACACCGCAGCUGAACGAGUGAACCCUCAUACUCCUCUACGCAUGGGCAUCCACUGUCGCGUCUUCCCCGGCUCCAUGUCGUCCCCUUCCUAGGCCUCGCCGUCGUCCACCGCCCUGGUGCUCUCGGCGCGGCGUGGUCAACGUGGUCAAGGAAUGGCUUCCAUCGGACGUGGACAGUACGUGGAGAGGCUGACAGCUGGGUCCACGGCCGCAGCAAGGAAGUGCCUCCUUAUUACGCGCAAAAUAAUUAUUCCUCCACCUGACAGCGGGGACCCACCGGACGGGCCACCGUAUUUCGCGAAAAAAACGUUUCCCCCUAACUGCUGGGACCCACCAACUACAUCUUCGCACGCAAGGAAGUGCGUCUGAAAAAAAAACGAUUCACCCCCUGACUGCUGGGACCCACCAGCUACAUCUUCGCACGCAAGGAAGUGCGUCCAGGCAAAAAAAACAAAACGAUUCCCCCUGACUGCUGGGACCCAGCAGCUACACCUUCGCACACAAGGAAGUGCGUCCGGGCAAAAAAAAACGAUUCGCCCCCCUGACUGCUGGGACCCACAAGCUACAUCUUCGCAGGCAAGGAAGUGCCUGACAGUCGGGACCCACCUGGUCGAAGCGUACGUAGCAUUGUCAUUCUUGUCGCGAAUGUGUACGUACAUAUAUACUGGUCGAUGUAGAGGCGCGCACGUGUCGUAGUAGAGGCGCGUACGUGUCGUAGUAGAGGCGCGCACGUAGCAUGUACACAUACGUACAGCGGCCAGGUUGCAAGAAAGAAAAUACGGCCACGUACGUACAUACGGGCAGGGUCUCGAACGCCUACUCGCGCAUACGUACGGCCAGGGCUCGUGUACAUGGCUGGGUCGGAACGGAGAAACAGCGUCGUCGUUGUGUUCAUGGGGAGGCAACGGAAUGCGUCGUGUUCAUCGGGAGGCAACGGAACGCGUGGGAGCCAACCGGCUGGGUCGGAACGGAAUGCGUGGUCGUGUUCAUCGGGAGGGCUUGGACGGAACAGGCGAUGGAAACGAGACCUGGCGUACCGCAAAACGGAGGAAACAGCCUUGUGUUCGACCGGCCAUGUUCGAAACGGGAUACUGUUCAUCGGGAGGGGUCUAGCGUACCGCAAAACGGAGGAAACGGACCUCCUACGAUCGAAACGGGGGUCCUGUUGAUCGGGAGGGGUGUGGCGUACCACAAAACGGAGGAAACAGACUUGUGUUGGAGCGCUACGGUCGAAACGGGGGUCCUGUUGAUCGGGAGGGGUGUGGCGUACCGCAAAACGGGACUCCACGGGAUACUGUUCAUCUCCAUCGUCGACCUCCUCCAGCCUCCACGGGCUGCCGUCGACCUCCUCCAGCCUCCACGGGCUCCUGUUCAUCCAGCCUCCACCGCGCGCUACUCCACCGGCUACUGUUCAACCACCCCUCCACCGUCUACUGUUCAUCCAGCCCUCCACACCACGGGGUCCUGUUCAACCACCCCUCCACGGGCACCCCUCCACCGUAUACUGUNNNNNNNNNNNNNNNNNNNNNNNNNNNNNNNNNNNNNNNNNNNNNNNNNNNNNNNNNNNNNNNNNNNNNNNNNNNNNNNNNNNNNNNNNNNNNNNNNNNNNNNNNNNNNNNNNNNNNNNNNNNNNNNNNNNNNNNNNNNNNNNNNNNNNNNNNNNNNNNNNNNNNNNNNNNNNNNNNNNNNNNNNNNNNNNNNNNNNNNNNNNNNNNNNNNNNNNNNNNNNNNNNNNNNNNNNNNNNNNNNNNNNNNNNNNNNNNNNNNNNNNNNNNNNNNNNNNNNNNNNNNNNNNNNNNNNNNNNNNNNNNNNNNNNNNNNNNNNNNNNNNNNNNNNNNNNNNNNNNNNNNNNNNNNNNNNNNNNNNNNNNNNNNNNNNNNNNNNNNNNNNNNNNNNNNNNNNNNNNNNNNNNNNNNNNNNNNNNNNNNNNNNNNNNNNNNNNNNNNNNNNNNCGGGUUCAGUUAACAGCCAUCGAUCGAUCGCUCAGGUUCAGUAACGCGUAGCCUGCAGUGCAAUCGCUCGGGUUCAGUUAGAGCCCAACGCCUCGCUCGGGUUCAGUUAGAGCCAAUGCCUCGCACACAUGCGCGUACGUGUACGAGAGAAACACGCAUCGCUCGGCCCCCGACCUCCCACCGUAACCGGGAACUCCCCGAAAUUUUCCUCGCCCUUGCUUCUACCACGGUUUUUUCCGUCAUGGACGGCCCAAAGAAUGUCAUGCAGCUGCAUCUCCGGCCCGCCUAGGACGAAAAGCCCAUUUUCUAUCAUGAUUUUUUGUCAUAGAAGUAGGAGCCCACCACAUCUAUGAUGAUACCGGGUUUUGUCACAAUUAUCGUCAUAAAAGUGUCAUAUGUAUGACAGAAAAAAAAAUCGUUCGGCCCAAAAUGUCACGGAUGUGUCUUUUUUUUGUAGUGCAUCCAUUCGAGCGUCCAGGUUGAAGUGUUUUCCAUCUGCCCUGUGAUGUAUAGCGUGGCGUAGAACAGAAGGAUAAUCUCUUUGUUCCAGCCAUGAUUGAAGCGCAUGAAACUCUUCAGAAGUGCAUACUCAAUAUGGUCAAGCGUGUUGUGGAAGCAGGGCAUUUCUUCGAGCGUGGCAAAGUUCAGCAUCUUGUCAUUGAAAAUCUUGUGCUUGCCAAACAAGAUCCGAGCAUAAUAUAUUACUUGCUCCUCUGUCCAAAACCUCGGAGACAAAGAUGUCACUGGUACGCGUCAGUGCUAUACAAACGGCUUUAACCCCUUUCCGCGAUGGCAUUUGGCACUGUCGCCUAGUGAGUGACGGCGAUAGGGGGGUCCUUCCCACACGACCCAGAAAUCGUCGGGGAUAUGCCCUCCUGGCACACACGCUCGGCAAAAUGAGGUCGUGUGCGACCGGCGAGCACUCAAAUACGGAAAUACGUACAGCAGAGCUAAAAAAUACAAUUAUACACGCGAAAUUGUUUUCGGUCGCAAGUACAUCCCACACAGUCAGUCCCCGCUAAACGUUUCUGGUCGUAUGUACAUCCCACACAGUCGCUCCAAGGAAAACAUUUCUGUUCAAAGGUACAUCACACACAAUUUUCCCCGUUAAAUCGUUUGUGAUAGCAUUGCCAUUGCACACGAUAUUAACAAUUUUAUCGUUUGCGUUAUUGAAUGCAUCACACACGGUGCGUAGAAGAAACUGUGUGGCAACGGCUGUCCAUCACACACAGUUUUUAUGUGGUAAACGUUUGCGCAAGGUGGCCUAACGCAAACAGUUUUCAAGAGGAUGUCGUGUGUGCAGUGGAGAUUGAUCGCACACGUAGUGGAUCCUAGAAACGUUUCUGAUCUCCACGUCUAUCGCAGAUGUUUCGCUUUCGCAAACCGUGUGCAGUGUAAUCCCUAAUUUAAAAAACACAUGUUUUGAAUUUGAAAGUAGGCAAUCACUUAUUUCAUAUCCAACCAUGUUUAUUACAAAUAUAGGUUCAACCACCAAUGCACAGGUACAGAUACUGAAGAACUACAGAAGCACCAAGUAAAGAAUGAUGAACCACAGUUGUACUAAAGACUGUAAAGAGAGAGGCGAAGGACAUUCUAGUUGCCGGAGAAGGUGAAGCUGAAUGCCCAUAUUGUGCCCUCCUCCAUGCGUAUGCGCGCACGACUCUAGGCCAACCCCUUGUGAUGGCUGCCCGUCCGUCCUUCACUGUCUUCAUUACGACUUCUCGGUUCUCAUUGUAGUCUGGAUGAAAUACUUUAACCUUCAUUGCGUGUCCACCAAUCAUGUUUUGCGAGGUAAUCUUGAGUGAACUGCUCCGGGAACCACUACGAAUGAAAAAGAUUCAAACAUUGUUGUCUAACAACUCAUUAUGGGCAGUAAAAAGAGAAGGCUGCAGAGUUUGUAGUUACCAUCCUACAGCUCACUGUUGUGUUGGAUAGAGCAUAAACAAAUAAUUUGCUUGCCACCAUUCAUAUCUUUUUGCUAAUAAUCCUUAUCAGUUUCCUCACUUGAUGCUUGUUCAUGAAUAUCUCAUUGCCCCAUACACAAAAAGGGUCGAUGGGUGGAUCCUUGCCAAGGGCAUAUGUACCUACAAGAAACAAGUCAAUAUUAGAAGCUAACAAGUGUCCAGGCCUGGAUCUAUAUGCACUACAUUACGGAAUGACGGGGGGAAUACAAGCCAAGGGAUGAAGCUAACCUCAGCGGAAAAUGGUGGCCACUCCGUUUUUGUCCUGCAUAAGUAGCGGAAAGGCAUGAUAAGUAGAGCAACCUUAACAUCAAACAAAUAUAGCAAAGGUAAACAACAUCAUCUCCAAAUGAUAGCUUGAAUGUGUUGGUUUCAGCAUGCUGUUAAAGCAGAUAUAAAAUGGAAGGCAAUGUUACCGACAACAGGCUUAACGACCAUCAAAUAUUGCAAUUCAAACUGGUAUUGUUGAAAAUGAAUAGAACGUAGGCAAUGCUUAAACAUCACACUGGAUAAAUGUGUAAAGCUGAAAUAAAGGGCAUGUGUUAACUACACCAGGAAUAACUGGAACCAAAUAUAGCCGUUCAAACUAGUAUUGAUGUAGUCGAGUGGCAUAGUUCCGACUUGCACAUAAUGAAUAACACAUUGUGAAUGACUGAAAUAAACAAGGCAUAAAUGACGAGUAUAACAACCAAAUAUAGCCAUUGAAAACUGGACAGAGUCUCACUACACCCAACCUAACAAGCAAAUACAAAUAAACAUGGCAUAUGCUUGAAAACUGGACAAAUGCUCACUGCAACCAACCUAACAAGCAGAUACAGAUAAACAAGGCAUCUGCUUGAUAACUGGACAAAUGCUAAAAAAAAGCAACCUGACAACCAAAUACAGAUAAACAAGGCAUCUGCUUGAUAACUGGACAAAUGCUCACUGCAACCAAACUAAGAACCAAAUACAUAUAAACAAGGCAUCUGCUCGAUAACUGGAAAAUGCUCACUCCAACCAACCUAACAACCAAAUACAGAUAAACAAGGCAUCAACUCACUAUAAACAACCAAAUAUAGCCAUUCGUGAAACUGAAGUGGACAAUUCAUACUUAAACAUCGCAUAGCCCUAUUGAACAAUACAUUUUUGCAUAACUGAAAUAAUUAAACACGGCACAGUUAAAGCAUCACACGGCAAAUGCUACUACAACAAAGGGUACGGGUUGGCAAGCUAGAAAAGGUAAGAUUUGUUGAUAGAAUGUUGCCUCACAUUUCAUGGAUGGGAUCCUUCCAGUUGGAAGAGCACAGACCCAUGGUGCGCUCUCUGAUGUCACAGAUGGGCUGUUUCACCUUGGAAGAACCUUCAUGGGUGCCCUCCUCGUGGUCAUGGUCGUGGUCAAUGAGAUCUGACUUGGCAAUUGAGUAUCCCAAGCUGCCGCCGUAGAAUGUGUCCUUCAGAAAUGACAAAAUGAGCUCGAUGGCAUAUAAAGCUCGCAAAUCCUUGACCGCUUGGCGGAGGAGAUCAGCGGCAGGGCCGUCGAAGAGAACGACGGCGGUUGAACCAGAGGGGUUGGGGAUGGACCACUUAACCUGUGACAUGGCUCGCGUGAAGCCGUCGCUGUGGACGAGCUCGAUGUUGUAGCCAGCUUUCCCGAGAUACUGUAAUACGCUAGCCCGCUGACAUGAAGCCUUCGGCAUGGCAACGUAGUCAACGUCUUCGCCGGCUUCCGCGGCAACGUGUUGCUCCGGGAUCGACGGGUCGGGGCGAACGGCGGCUACCUCGCCAACGUCCGCCGGAGAGGCCAUGAUAAACCCCUUCUUGGCCGAACGCACGUCGGGCUCCCCGGGAUACAUGGUCGAGCUUAGGCUGCGACAUUCUAGAGCAGGGGAUGUUGAUCUGGCGGGGAGGGACACCGCAGGCCUCAUCUAAAAACUCAGGGGAGUGGGGCGACGGUAUGGGAAUCGCUGGGUAACCUAAACUUUAUUAUCUAAUCUAGGAGGAACGGGCAGACCGGCAGGGGUUGGCGGCGGCGCCGGCGGCGACCGCGAGCUAGGGUUCGAGGGGGGAGGGGGCGGGUGGGGGACUAUGGAGGGGGGGUGUUUGAGGAUAGGCCACGGCUACUGAAAAAUUUAGUAUUGGUGGGUGGAGAUGGUGGUGGAUGAGGGAGGGCGACGGUUCAAAUGCCUCGGCUACUGCAAUUUUACUAUAAGGUCGGUGCUGUAGGAGUGUGGGCGACGGUUGAAGUACGGCGGCUACUAAAAUUUGGGUAAAGGAAUUGAUGCGGGGCGGGAGUGCCCAAGAUCGCGCACGGUCCAAUAAUAAUAUGCGUGUAUGAUGAUAAGGAAAAGUGGCGCGAAACCACCGAUUUUUGCAACGCUCAAGGCGGAUAGUUUGUUUUUAUAGUUCUAGCUAGCUGGUCUAUCGCACACGGUUCGUCCUAAUUUCCAAAUAAACUUACCCGCCUUUAGCUUGCAUGGGUGGUGGUUUUACAGCGCACUUGCAUCGCACACGGUUAAGCCAGUAUCUCCACCCUUUGCUCGCGCUUGCGCGGUCGUGGUGAUUUCAGCGCACUUGCGUCGCACACGGUUGAGCCAGUACCUCCACCCUUUGCUCGCGCUUGCACGGUCGUGGUGAUUUCAGCGCACUUGCAUCGCACACCGUUGAGCCAGUACCUCCACCCUUUGCUCGCGCUUGCGCGGUCGUGGUGAUUUCAGCGCACUUGCAUCGCACACGGUUGAGGCAGUACCUCCACCUUAAUUUGCUCUCGCUUGCGCAGGUGUGGUGAUUCACAGCGCACUUGUAUCGCACACGGUUAAGAUAAUAUACCCGUGUCCGUUGAGCAUCAUCAGAGUCCUUGCAGCAAAAAAUAAUGUUAGAGAGGGUCAGAAGACAGCCACACCAGCAUGUGGCCCAAAUAUAUAUGAGUGAAAAGGGGUCUGUGAUGUUCAAAAUUUCAACGCACAACUUUGACCUCGCGAGCCCAUGGUUGGGCGUGUCGUCGAAGAUCGAUGAGAGGGGCCAAAAGUCAAGAACCACCUGGAAGUGGCCAAAUAUAUGUAGGAAUAUUGGGGAUGUUUAAAACUUUAAAUACACAAUGCAUAACUUUGGUGGCACCUACCUUGCAAACCCGAAAGCACCCUUGGAUUAUAUAUAUAUAUAUAUAUAUAUAUAUACAUACAUAUAUAUAAUGACAUAAUGUCGUACCUAGCUAGGAUGCUUGGCCCGCCACCUCCCACUUCGUGUCAGCGGGGCGGAUGCACGUGAUGAUCGAUACUUUGGUCAUGCAUGCAUGUCGCCAUGACCUACCAUAAGACGGACCAAUGAAUCUAUCGUUUGGUCAAACGACAGCUGUUGUUGUCUAUAAACCGCAUGGGCCAAUAGACUGAACCAUCAUAAAAAUCGCAUGAGAGGGACCACAAAACCAGCACCUCUUGCAUGCGGCCCAAAAUAAUGUACGUUAGGAAGGGGUGAUGUGUGUUUUCAAUAUAGAAUAAUGUACAAUUUAGAUGUGGUGCCUACCUCUCGAUACAGACAACAACCAUGAAGGCAAGGUAGUUAAGGACGAGAUACGCAGGGUAUGAUGUAGGUCGAACCCAACAAUCCGAGCAUGUGGGAGGGAAUCCUGACAACACAUGAGCUCGAGCUUUGGUUGAGCGACAUGUGAUGGUGACCGGCCCUAACACGAACUAGGAGGAAUCCAUUCAUGGAAAACACAUACCCCUCAUUAUCGGUCAAAGGGAUGAUAUAUAUACACUCGGAGAGCCCAUAGAUAUGCGUGUCGUCACAAAAAACCGCACAAGGGAGACGUGGUCGAUCAGAUGACCCCGUAUACACUGCAUGCAGCCCGAAAAUAUGUAUGGGUACGGUGGUGUGUGACGUGUUUAAAUCCCAAAUGGACAACUUCGAUGGGCCACCAACUACAUUACAAACCGAACACCAUACCCGACUCCAAGCCUGGUUCAAUACGUAUGAUGUUAGUUUCUCAACUUCGAGNNNNNNNNNNNNNNNNNNNNNNNNNNNNNNNNNNNNNNNNNNNNNNNNNNNNNNNNNNNNNNNNNNNNNNNNNNNNNNNNNNNNNNNNNNNNNNNNNNNNNNNNNNNNNNNNNNNNNNNNNNNNNNNNNNNNNNNNNNNNNNNNNNNNNNNNNNNNNNNNNNNNNNNNNNNNNNNNNNNNNNNNNNNNNNNNNNNNNNNNNNNNNNNNNNNNNNNNNNNNNNNNNNNNNNNNNNNNNNNNNNNNNNNNNNNNNNNNNNNNNNNNNNNNNNNNNNNNNNNUCAAACUUUAUUUGGUCUAGCAUGGGACACAUCUAUAUCUAUACCCCUGUAUAGUGUGCGAAUAACUUUGAAAGUUGGUCGUUGUAUGAAGCCAAUCCGACGGUACAGAGAUGGCAAAUCCGAGCACUACUGGCCGUUGGAUAUCAUCUACAUUCUACCAGAUUCUGCCGCAUGUACAAUCUAGAAGACUCCAUGGUUGAACUUAAGCAUAAUGCACAAACAUCAAAACACAAGCACUUCUCCUUUGUUCUCUAGAAUCUUCCAUAUCUUAAUUGCCCAAACUUUUUUUCUAAAUGAAUUGUCACUUUUUGUUUUUUACUUUAUGCUUUACAAUGCACAAUUCCAUGAAUCUUAAAAUAGAAUUUUUUAUAAAACUAAUUAUUUUGGAUGAGAUGAACUAUAAGAAUUAAACGAACAUCUACAUCAUGCAUAUAUGACUCAAAGCUUACAUGCUAUAGUGUGGUAUUUAUUCAUAAUUUGGUUACCAAAUCUCAUCCGUGCAAUGCACGUGUACCUUACUCGUAUCAAUAGGAAACCAUCAUGGUCAAACCCUUCUCGUUGUUGGGUCAAAGGGAUAGAUUGUGUGCCCCCCCUAAUUGUCGAUAAAGGAUAGUAUAUAUACCUCGGGGAGCCCACAUAUAUGUGCCGCGUCUAUAAGCCGCACAAGGGAGACAUGCUCGAGAAGAACACCCUGCCCCCUAUACCCUACAUGCAACCUGAAAAAGGUUUAUACAAUCGCCAUGACAGGUCAAGUCAAUCAUUCUUUAAUUUUUUAGAGCAAAAAAUAGCCCAUAAAAACAUGGUAGGUUUAUAUAAUCGCCAUGACAGAUCAAGUCAAUCAUUCUUUAAUUUUUUAGAGCAAAAAAUAACCCGUAAAAACCUAUCUACAAAUUAGCAAAACAAGGAUCCCAAGGUUUAUAUAAUUGCCAUGAUAGGUCACUAUAGAGAUAUAAUAUAUCUCUAUAAUGACCAUGUCAUGGCAUUUAAAUGAUAUAAUAUAUCUCUAUAAUGACCGUGUCAUGGCAUUUAAAUGAUAUAAUAUAUCUCUAUAAUGACCGUGUCAUGGCAUUUAAAUGAAGCUUGAGAUAUGCAACUUCCCAUCGGGUCACCCAUCCUUGGACUACUCCAGCCCGAGCACGCUUAACUUAUGCGUUCUAUUCGACUAGGCUAGCGGAUGGGAAGCCGCCCCUUGCUGAUAAGAAUUGCCUCGUUGCCAUUAAGGCAUUCCACGCUGGUCACCCUAUGGUACCUACUCCCUCCUAUCACACACAUUUGUGCUUUUAGAUAUUUACAUGGCCGGUGUGUCGCCGCUAGCCUUCAAUGAGCACUAACACUGGUAGUGGGAAAAGGAUGGGAGAAGAGGCGGGAAACCGAUGAGAGGAGUGGUGAGAAACGGUAGCCUGUUUAGAAAACCUAGUAGAGAAGGAAGCGUGAGCUAGCACGACACAUGCGCACAGUGCUUACCCAUGUACUGCAUGUGCUGUCGAAAGGGCUUAGGGUUGUCGUUCGAUCUGGGAGCAUCCAACGGUGCACACGUACGAUCCGUGGGGUUUGGGUUCUGGCCAAUCAGAACGCACGUUCAAUGAGCACGAUCGUUUGGCCUUUUUAUACACUAAUUGAGUUUCCUAGGCAUUUAAUGUCCAUAAUUCAAAUCUGAACUUCAAAUACAUGCUCCAGUUCACCAAAAUGGCUAGAAAAUUUAUACAUGUGUCCUUGGGUGCAUGUUUAGUUCCCAUGCCAGGAAUGGGAACGAAUUACAACCGUACCCGCGUCCUGGCUCGUCCUCAAACAUUUGGAAUCUCGGUUUUUAAAUCCCCGUAAAUCCUAAACUCACCAGAAAGUCAUCAAAGGUGGCAUGGUGUCACGUCAUGGCACAUAUAUGUCGUGGUAAAAACAUUGUCCAAUUUGGGCCAAGCUUUAUUACAAACCUCUUACAAACCGGAGCUUCUCUCAAAGAAGCCUUGUGGUUUCGAUAGGGAAACGUGUUCCCCUUGUGGGCGAAACGUAAUCACUGCCUCUUUUCGCCUUGUAUUUUCUUCCACGGGCAACAUGGAACGACAUGAUAUUCAUGCUGAAAUUUAAACUUAUUCAGGGUUCGUUUGGCCUUUUUAUACACUAAUUGAGUUUCCUAGGCAUUUAAUGUCCACAAUUCAAAUCUGAACUACAAAUACAUGCUCCAGUUCACCAAAAUGGCUAGAGAAAUUAUAUAUGUGUCCUUGGGUGCAUGCUUAGGUCCCAUGCCAGGAAUGGGAACGAAUUACAACCGAACCGGUGUCCUGGCUCGUCCUCAAACAUUUUGAAUCUCGGUUUUUAAAUCCCCAUAAAUCCAAAACUCACCAGAAAGUCAUCAAAGGUGGCAUGGUGUCACGUCAUGGCACAUAUAUGUCGUGGUAAAAACAUUGCCAAUUUGGGCCAAGCUUUAUUACAAACCUCUUAUAAACCGGAGCCUGUCGCAAGAACCCUCGUGGUUUCGAUAGGGAACCGUGUCCCCUUGUGGGCCAAACGAUAAUCGCUCCCUCUUCUAGCCUCGUAUUUUCUUCUACACGCAACAAGGAACAACGGGAGAUUCGCGCUGAACUUUGAAAUUAUUCAGGGUUCAUUUGACCUUUUUAUUCAUUAAUUGAGUUUUCUAGGCAUUUAAUGUCCAUAAUUCAAAUCCGAACUACAAAUACAUGCUCCAGUGCACCAAAAUGGCUAGAAAAAACGUACAUGUUUUCUUGGGGUGCAUGUUUAGGUCCCAUGGAACGAAUGGGAAUGAAUUCAACCGUCUCGCCGUCCUGGCUUGGCCACAAACAUUGUGAAUUUUGGUUUUUAAAUCUCUGCAAAUCCAAAACUCACCAGGAAAUCAUGAAACUUGGCAUGGUGUCACUACAUGGUACGUAUAAUUGUCCAAUUUGGGCGAAGCUAUAUUACAAGCCUCUUACAAACCAGAGCCUGUCACAACCCUCGUGGUUCCGGUAGGGAAACAUGCCCCUCUUGUGGGCGAAACGAUAAUCGCUGCCUCUUCUCGCCUUGAACUUUGUUUUCUACAGGCAACAUAGAAUAACAGGAGUGCGGGCUGAAAUUUGAAACUGUUCAGGGUUCGUUUGGCCAUUGUAUAUAUUACUAAUUACUAAGUUUUCUAUGCAUUUAAUGUAGUCCAUAAUUCAAAUUUGAACUACAAGCACAUGCUCCAAUGAAGCAAAAUGGAUGGGAAAUCGUACAUGUGUCAUUGGGUGCAUGUUUAGGUCUCAUUUAAGGAAUGGGAAUGAAUUACAAACUUGUCGUCGUCCUGAAACAUUGAGAAUCUCGGUUUUUAAAUCCUAGUAAAUCAAAAAGUCACCCAAAAACAUGAAACUUGGCAUGGUUUCAUGACAUGGCACAUAUAUGUCGUGGUAAAAAAAUCAUCCAGUUUGAGAAGAGGCGCAGACAUUAGUAGCCAACGAAGUCCUUUUUGAAACAAAAAGCUGACAUGUUAAUAUCGCAAAUGGUUGUAUUAUAUUAACAAUGCCAAAAUUUGACCAUACUCGGUGGCGUGUGUGCAGCUCUUUGAUUAGACAGGACGAGCGCAAGAAGUCCGCUGUGCAGGCUCGACGGGACGCGUGCGAGCAGUCCGCCGCGCAGGCUCAAUGGGACGCGUGUAUCCUGUCCACCUCGCAGGCUCGACGGGACACGUGCGAGCAGCAAGGCCGCCCAUGCUCACCGGGAAAUGAGCUCUUUGACCUCCAUGCACCAGCCGCCGCCCGCCUCGCUCACAACUUCUCCAUUAAUGGGUUAAUUAAAGCAUCUGUACGGAGGGUGUUUCUUGUGAUCCCAUGGCAGCAUUUGCUUUGCUCGUGUUUUCAACUCGUAUUCUUCCCUAAUUUAAAUUGCCGCAUAGGGCAACGGAUAAUACGACCACAAAUAAAAUGGCACGGAUAAUAUGACGACAAAUUUACAAUGGCACAAAUAAUAAUUGUCUUACAUAUUCUGGAUAAUUUAAAAUGCCACAUGCGGCAAAGCCCGGAAGACACGGGGACAAGAGAAGAAGGAAAUUGCAGACAACGAUCUGGGUCGCUACUUUCUCUACUCGUCGAUGGAUCGCCGAACGACGAAAUCCUCCAGCUCCUUCUUCAAUUCCUCACGACUUUGCUUGAAAGCAGCCACGGAUUCCUCCACCUCUUGGCGCUCGAUCCGGAGCUUCCUCAAUCCACCCAUUAGUUCCUCGACGACCACUUUCAGCGUCAUCUCCAAGGCACUGCUCUGCUCAUGCAGCAUCUUCUAGCCGGCGGCCUCCUCCUCCUUCUCGGCGACCAACUUGAGGAGCUUCACAUUAUCACCCAUGAGUUGCUCGACAAGGCCGGUCGCCUAGUCAACCAAGGCAUCACUGAUCUUGAGCAGCUUCAUCAAGCCGUCGACCAACUCCUGCUGCGUAGUGACACCAGCGAGAAUGUCGUCGUCGCCGGCGAAGGACUUCAGGAACGCCGGCUCGUCGCGAUGGCCGACGCCGCGAAUGCGCUUGUGAGAGCCCUCGCGUGCCCGUGAGAUCUCGUUCGAGGGCUCCCCGGCGCGCCGGGACAUCUCUACUGCGGCUGCGGCUUCGCGGUGGGACCUCUCUAGUGCUUCCGCGGCCUUGGUCUUUGCUGCCUGGUUAUAUGUCCACCCUAAACUCCUCCUACCGGUCAUGGCAGAACGACUUGACAGGAAAAACCAGUUUUGUGGGUGAUGAGGAGAGGAACUGUGAAGUAAUUCUUGAGUGGGUAGUUUUUAUAGCCCGGUGCUAAGUGUGAACACAUAUUAGUUUGAUAGGUGUGAACAGGUUUGCAAUUACUUAUUGCGUUGUAAUCUACAAUGUGACGAGAAAUAAUGUCAAAAAUUAUUGAUGGCAGAAGGUUGACCAUGUGGUUGCUCGCCGUUGAGUCGGCUAUUUGCCACGUAUCACACACAUCUUAUUAAGUUGAACCAUUUCUAUUGUGUUCGCUAAUCGAAAACAGUUCGUCCGAGUGAACCGUAUGUCCUAUAUCACACACACCUUGAUCUGACCAACCGUUUCUGUUGCACUCCCUAAUAGCAAACAGUUCAUCAGAGCGAACUGUAUGCCCUAUAUCGCACACACAUUGAUAUGGCUGCCCAUUUCUGUUGUUCUGCCUCAUCACAAACAGUUCGAACAGGUUAACCGUGUGCCCUGAAUCACACACACAACUAAAAUCUGAACCGUGUUUGAUGGCUCCGCCAUCGCAAACGUUUUGCACCUUUUUUGACGGUUUUUUACAUCCUCGUUUGUGAUUAAUGCAUCGCACACAGUUUCAUCAAAGGGUCUCUGAUCGUAGUGUCGCGUUAGCAGCAUCCUGCAGUAGUGUUCUUUAAAUUACGCAAAGUUAAAUACUUCCUGUAAGGCAGCUUGUUUCUUAUGAGCAGGAAAAUAUUUUUUAGAGUAGUGAUAAAUCAUAUCCUAGGGACUACGCACACACCCAGGAGCAAGAGUAUUAUACCAAGUCUUAGCAUCACCCUUUAAUGAGAACGGAAAUAAUCUGAGAAUAUAAUAAUAGUGAAUCUUCUCAUAAUGAGCAAAAAGGGUGGCUAUGUCAUUCAACUUAGUAAGAUGUGCCACAACAGUUUCAGUUUCAUGACCAUGGAAAGGAUCAGAUUCAACCAAAGUAAUUAACUCUGGGUCGAUAGAGAAUUCAUAAUCCUUAUCAUCAACAAAGAUAGGUGAAGUAGCAAGCUUAGGAUCACAUUUCAUUCUAGCAUUCAGAGAUUUUUCUUUCAGUUUGCAUAAUAAUUUCUUAAAAUCAUCCCUAUCAUUGCAAGCAAGAAAGUCUCUAGUUGUCUCCUCAUCCAUAACAUAACCUUCGGUAUCUUAGGCAAUUCAUAUCUAGGUGAACUAGACCUAAUAGGUGUUUCAAGAUUUCCAGUUUCAAGCUCUUCAUCAGUUUCAACAAUUUCAUCAGUUUCAGCAUUCUCAAAAGCUUUAGUUCUAGCAAGUUGUUCAUCAAGAAAUUCAGCUAGUGGCACAUUAUCAUCAAGCAAGGUACUAGCAUCAUCAUGAAUAUCAUUCAUAGCAGAAGUGGCAUCAUCAAUAACUUGCGACAUAUCAGGAUUAAUAGCAUGUGGUGGUGUUGCAAGUCUACUUAUAACAGAAGGUGAAUCAAGUGCUUAGCUAGCUGGCAGUUCCUUACCCCCCUGAUGUCUACUACGCAACCUUCUCCUUGUAGACGUUGUUGGGCCUCCAAGUGCAGAGGUUUGUAGGACAGUAGCAAAUUUCCCUCAAGUGGAUGACCUAAGGUUUAUCAAUCCGUGGGAGUGUAGGAUGAAGAUGGUCUCUCUCAAACAACCCUGCAACCAAAUGACAAAGAGUCUCUUGUGUCCCCAACACACCCAAUACAAUGGUAAAUUGUAUAGGUGCACUAGUUCGGCGAAGAGAUGGUGAUACAAGUGCAAUAUGGAUGGUGGAUAUAGGUUUUUGUAAUCUUAAAAUAUAAAAACAACAAGGUAACUAAUGAUAAAAGUGAGCACAAACGGUAUUGCAAUGCGUUGAAACAAGGCCUAGGGUUCAUACUUUCACUAGUGCAAGUUCUCUCAACAAUAAUAACAUAAUUGGAUCGUUUAACUAUCCCUCAACAUGCAACAAAGAGUCACUCCAAAGUCACCAAUAGCGGAGAACAAACGAAGAGAUUGUUGUAGGGUACGAAACCACCUCAAAGUUAUCCUUUCUUAUCAAUCUAUUCAAGAGUCCGUAGUAAAAUAAUGCGAAGCUAUUCUUUCCGUUCGAUCUAUCAUAGAGUUCAUACUAGAAUAACACCUUAAGACACAAAUCAACCAAAACCCUAAUGUCACCUAGAUACUCCAAUGUCACCUCAAGUAUCCGUGGGUAUGAUUAUACGAUAUGCAUCACACAAUCUCAGAUUCAUCUAUUCAACCAACACAAAGAACUUCAAAGAGUGCCCCAAAGUUUCUACCGGAGAGUCAAGACGAAAACGUGUGCCAACCCUAUGCAUAAGUUUACAACAUCAAGUAGAUCACGUGAAUAUCCCAUUGUCACCACAGAUAAGCACAUGCAAGACAUACAUCAAGUGUUCUCAAAUCCUUAAAGACUCAAUCCGAUAAGAUACCUUCAAAGGGAAAACUCAAUCCAUUACAAGAGAGUAGAGGGGGAGAAACAUCAUAAGAUCCAACUAUAAUAGCAAAUCUCGCGAUACAUCAAGAUCGUACCACCUCAAGAACACGAGAGAGAGAGAGAGAGAGAUCAAACACAUAGCUACUGGUAGAUACCCUCAGCCACGAGGGUGAACUACUCCCUCCUCGUCAUGGAGAGCGCCGGGAUGAUGAUGAUGAUGGCCACCGGUGAGGGAUCCCCCCUCCGCCAGGGUGCCGGAACAGGGUCCCGAUUGAUUUUUGGUGGCUACAGAGGCUUGCAGCGGUGGAACUCCCGAUCUAUUCUGUUUUCUAGAAGUUUCAGUAUUUAUAGGAUUUUUUGGCGUAGGUCUCACGUCAGGGGGGUCUCCGGGUUGUCCACGAGGCAGGGGCCCACGCCCAGGGGGUGGGCGCGCCCCCACCCUCGUGGGCAGCCCGGGACUCUCCUGGCCCAACUCUUUUACUCCGGGGGCUUCUUUUGGUCCAGAAAAAAAAUCAAAAAUUGGCACGUCAAUUGGACUCCGUUUGGUAUUCCAUUUCUGUAAAACUCAAAAACAAGGAAAAAACAGAAACUGGCACUGGGCUCUAGGUUAAUAGGUUAGUCCCAAAAAUAAUAUAAAACUGCAUAGUAAAGCCCAUUAAACAUCCAAGAUGGAUAAUAUAAUAGCAUGAAUACUUCAUAAAUUAUAGAUACGUUGGAGACGUAUCAGCAUCCCCAAGCUUAAUCCCUGCUCGUCCUCGAGUAGGUAAAUGAUAAAAGAAAUAAUUUAUGAAGUGUGAAUGCUAGCAGGUGCACAAGUUUGAUCAAUGAUAACUUCAAUCACCUUUUCUAGCAUCAUUAUAUAUCAUAACAGUAGCUCAUCUCAUAAAACUUUUCAUGAUCAAGUAACAAACUAUUCACAUGUUAAAGUAUAGAUCAUAAACUUUCUUGAAAACUAACAAACCGUGUUAUUAGUCAUCAAACAAUUACAAUUCAUCUUAUUUUCAGGAAGAGUCUAUGUCAGAGCUUUGAUUCCGCAAACUUCACAUACUCAACUAUCAUUUAGUCUUCCAUGAUUGCUACCACUCAAAGCAUAUUUUUAGAACAAAUAGUAUUCAUCGAACACAGAGAAAGAUAGGGGCUUAAUGUUUCGCCUCCCAAACUUUUACCUCAAGGGUAAUGUCAACAAUAAUAAUUCAUGAUCAAAUAUAUUUGAAUGGCCAUAUAUGCUUAGAUCUUUCCCCAACACAUGAUGCUUGCCAACUAAAGAGUAGGUUGGAAUGAGAAGGAAUACUACUGACUCUUGCAUAAAAGUAAAAGAUAGGCCCUUCGCAGAGGGAAGCAAGGAUUUGCAGAGGUGCCAGAGCUCGAAGCUAAAACAGAGAUGAAAAUAAUUUUGAGAGGUAUGCUUUCAUUGUCAACAUAACGGCCAAGAGUUCCCAAUAUCUUCCAUACUAGAUACAUUAUAGGCGGUUCCCAAACAGAAAGGUAAAGAUUUUACUCCCCCUCCACCAACAUUCACACUCCACGGCUUGUCCGAAACAACGGGUGCCGUCCAACUAUCAACAUUCCUGGGGGAGUUUUGUUUAAAUUAUUUGCAAAUUUGUUUUUGAUCUUUGAUCAUAGGACUGGGCAUCCCAGUUACCAGCCAUUUUCUCGUGAAUGAUGAGCGGAGUCCACUCAUCGUGAGAAUAACCCACCUAGCAUGGAAGAUACUGCUAGCCCCUAGUCGCUACAUGAGCGAUUCGGGCAUACAAAACAGAUUAUUAUUUGAAGGUUUAGAGUUUGGCACAUGCAAAUUUACUUGGAAUGGCAGGUAAAUACCACAUAUAGGUAGAUAUGGUGGACACUCAUGGAAGAAACUUGGUUCAAGGAUUUUGGAUGCACAAGCAGUAUUCCCGCUUAGUACAAAAAAUUUGGCUAGCAAAGGAUUCUAAAUAGCAAGCACCACAUGUUAGAGGAUCCAUAACAAUAUAACUUCUAUACAAAUAUACCCAAGCAUAACUCAUUAUGUUGUCUUCCUUGUCCAACUCCAACUAAUUUGCUCAGGUGUGAAAAUAAUUAAUGGGGCUCACAAUCAUAGAAGAUGUCCAAGAUAGUAUAUUUAUAUGUGAAAUCUCUCUUCCUUCAAUAUUCUUUCAUGAAUUGUUCAAGUGACCAAUACAAUGUUUGCUAACCUUCAAUAAAUUUACCACCUCUACUUCUUAUAUGUGAAGGCAUUACUCCCCAUGGGAAAGGCAUAUGAAACAUAUAUAAUUUCAGAUUUAUGACAUUCAAAUCAUUCAACCAUUUACUCAUAGGAUAUAAGUGAAGCACACGAGUAAAUGACAAACUACUCCAAAAAGAUAUAAGUGAAGAUCAAUGAGUAGUUAAAUAAUUAUGUAGCUAUGUGAAGACUCUCUCUCAUUUAAGAAUUUCAGAUCUUGGUAUUUUAUUCAUACAGCAAGCAAAACAAAAGAAAAUAAAAUGACGCUCCAAGCAAAACACAUAUCAUGUGGUGAAUAAAAAUAUAGUUCCAAGUAAAGUUACCGAUGAAUGAAGACGAAAGAGGGGAUGCCUUCCGGGGCAUCCCCAAGCUUAGACUCUUGGUUAUCCUUGAAUAUUACCUUGGGGUGCCUUGGGCAUCCCCAAGCUUAGGCUCUUUCCACUCCUUAUUCCAUAGUCCAUCGAAUCUUUACCCAAAACUUGAAAACUUCACAACACAAAACUUAACAGAAAAUCUCGUGAGCUCCGUUAGCGAAAGAAAAUAAAACACCACUUCAUGGUACUGAAAAUAAAACACCACUCCUUAAAGAUAUACCUUCAAGCACUCACCUCCCCGGCAACGGUGCCAGAAAAGAGCUUAGUUGACGGGGUGUGAGUGCCGCUUACCUAGCCUCCCCGGCAACGACACCAGAAAAGAGCUUGAUGUCUACUACGCAACCUUCUCCUUGUAGACGUUGUUGGGCCUCCAAGUGCAGAGGUUUGUAGGACAGUAGCAAAUUUCCCUCAAGUGGAUGACCUAAGGUUUAUCAAUCCGUGGGAGGUGUAGGAUGAAGAUGGUCUCUCUCAAACAACCCUGCAACCAAAUGACAAAGAGUCUCUUGUGUCCCCAACACACCCAAUACAAUGGUAAAUUGUAUAUGUGCACUAGUUCGGCGAAGAAUGGUGAUACAAGUGCAAUAUGGAUGGUGGAUAUAGGUUUUUGUAAUCUGAAAAUAUAAAAACAGCAAGGUAACUAAUGAUAAAAGUGAGCACAAACGGUAUUGCAAUGCGUUGAAACAAGGCCUAGGGUUCAUACUUUCACUAGUGCAAGUUCUCUCAGCAAUAAUAACAUAACUGGAUCAUAUAACUAUCCCUCAACAUGCAACAAAGAGUCACUCCAAAGUCACUAAUAGCGGAGAACAAACGAAGAGAUUAUUGUAGGGUACGAAACCACCUGAAAGUUAUCCUUUCUUAUCGAUCUAUUCAAGAGUCCGUAGUAAAAUAACGCGAAGCUAUUCUUUCUGUUCGAUCUAUCAUAGAGUUCGUACUAGAAUAACACCUUAAGACACAAAUCAACCAAAACCCUAAUGUCACCUAGAUACUCCAAUGUCACCUCAAGUAUCCGUGAGUAUGAUUAUACGAUAUGCAUCACACAAUCUCAGAUUCAUCUAUUCAACCAACACAAAGAACUUCAAAGAGUGCCCCAAAGUUUCUACCGGAGAGUCAAGACGAAAAUGUGUGCCAACCCCUAUGCAUAAGUUCACAAGGUCACUGAACCCGCAAGUUGAUCACCAAAACAUACAUCAAGUAGAUCACGUGAAUAUCCCAUUGUCACCACAGAUAAGCACAUGCAAGACAUACAUCAAGUGUUCUCAAAUCCUUAAAGACUCAAUCCGAUAAGAUAACUUCAAAGGGAAAACUCAAUCCAUUACAAGAGAGUAGAGGGGGAGAAACAUCAUAAGAUCCAACUAUAAUAGCAAAUCUCGCGAUACAUCAAGAUCGUACCACCUCAAGAACACGAGAGAGAGAGAGAGAUCAAACACAUAGCUACUGGUAGAUACCCUCAGCCCUGAGGGUGAACUACUCCCUCCUCGUCAUGGAGAGCGCCGGGAUGAUGAAGAUGGCCACCGGUGAGGGAUCCCCCCUCCGGCAGGGUGCCGGAACAGGGUCCCGAUUGGUUUUUGGUGGCUACAGAGGCUUGCGGCGGUGGAACUCCCGAUCUAUUCUGUUUUCUGGAAGUUUCAGUAUUUAUAGGAUUUUUUGGCAUAGGUCUCACGUCAGGGGGGGUCUCCGGGUUGUCCACGAGGCUGGGGCCCACGCCCAGGGGGGUGGGCGCGCCCCCCACCCUCGUGGGCAGCCCGGGACUCUCCUGGCCCAACUCUUUUACUCCGGGGGCUUCUUUUGGUCCAGAAAAAAUCAUCAAAAAUUGGCACAUCAAUUGGACUCCGUUUGGUAUUCCUUUUCUGUAAAACUCAAAAACAAGGAAAAAACAUAAACUGGCACUGGGCUCUAGGUUAAUAGGUUAGUCCCAAAAAUAAUAUAAAAGUGCAUAGUAAAGCCCAUUAAACAUCCAAGAUGGAUAAUAUAAUAGCAUGAAUACUUCAUAAAUUAUAGAUACGUUGGAGAUGUAUCACCCCCCUCGUCUUAGAGGAAAAAAAAUCUUAGUCUUAGCAUCCUUCAGAUUCUUCAUAGUGAUAAUUUGAUAAUAAUCCCAAGUGACUCAACAAAUAUAGCUAUACUCCCCGGCAACGGCGCCAGAAAAAGGUCUUGAUAACCCACAAGUAUAGGGGAUCACAACAGUUUUUUAGGGUAGAAUAUUCAACCCAAAUUUAUUGAUUCAACACAAGGGGAGCCAAAGAAUAUUUGCAAGUAUUAGCAGCUGAGUCGUCAAUUCAACCACACCUGGAGAUUAAUUAUCUACAACAAAGUGAUCAGUAGCAAAGUAGUAUGAUAGUUUUGAUAGCAGUAGCAACAACGAUAGUAACGGUAACAGUGAUAGCAAUGAUUUUGUAGCGAGUGUAACAGUAGCAGUAGUAACUUAGCAGGAACAAUAUGAGAGAAAUUCGUAGGCAUUGGAUCAGUGAAUUCGUUGGAUGAUAUUCAUCAUAUAACAACCAUAACCUAGGGCGAUACAACACUAUUCCAGUUCAUAAAUAUAAUGUAGGCAUGUAUUCCGUAAAUAGUCAUACGUGCUUAUGGAAAGAACUUGCAUGACAUCUUUUGUCCUACCCUCCCAUGGCAGCGGGGUCCUAUUGGAAACUAAGGGAUAUUAAGGCCUCCUUUUAAUAGAGAAUCGGGACAAAGCAUUAACACAUGGUGAAUACAUGAACUCCUCAAACUACGGCCAUCACCAGGAAGUGUCCCGACUUCUGUCACUCCGGGUUGCCGGAUCAUAGAACGUAGUAGGUGACUAUAACUUGCAAGAUCGGAUCUAGAACAUAGAUAUAAUGGUGAUAACAUAAACGGUUCAGAUCUGAAAUCAUGGCACCCGGGCCCAAAGUGACAACCAUUAAGCAUGUCAAAGUCAUAGCAACAUCAAUCUCAAAACAUAAUGGAUACUAUGGAUCAAGCCCUAACAAAACUAACUUGAUUACAUGAUGAAUCUCAUCCAACUCCUCACCGACCAGCGAGCCUACGAAGGAAUUACUCACUCCCGGUGGGGAGCAUCAUGGAAUUGGCGAUGGAUAAGGGUUGGUGAUGACGAAGAUCGAAGAUCCCCCUCUCCGGAGCCCCAAGCGGACUCCAGAUAUGGCCUCCCGACAAAGAACAGGAGGUGGCGGUGGCUCUGUCUCGUGAAACGCGGUAAUUCUUUCUCUCUUAUUUUUUUCUCCGAAAAUGUGAAUUUAUAGCGUCAGAGUUAGGGUAUGCGGGGCCACCAGGUGGGGACAACCCACCUGGGCGCGCCUGGAGGGGGGGCGCACCCUGGUGGGUUGUGCCCACCCAGGUGCCCCCCUCUGGUGGUUCUUGGCUCUAGUAUUUUUCUUUUAUUGCAUAAAAAAUCCUCGCAAAGUUUUGUUCCAACCCGAGAACUUUUAUUUUUGCACAAAAAACAACACCAUGGUAGUUCAGCUGAAAACAUCGUCAGUCCGGGUUAGUUUCAUUCAAAUCAUGCAAAUUAGAGUCCAAAACAAGAGGAAAAGCAUUAGGAAAAGUGGAUACGAUGGAGACGUAUGAGUUUCACAUCGCUGUUUGGAUAGUACUUGUCAUCUUCUAUCCAACAAGUUUGAGUUUGCUUUGUUCGGAGCACGUAUGGAGAAGUUUAGCAUUUUUAGUCUCAGGGCAGUUUUUCUCUGCUCAGGCGGUACUUCCGCUAUGGACUAUCGUUGCCACUACUGCUUGGGGGGAUCUGUGUUGUGCAAGUUUCUGUUGCCUAUUUCUCUUAGCGGUAUUAGGACGGUACUAGCCCGGUGUACCGCUUAAGCGGUACUUCUGCUGUCUACUACCACUCUAUAGGAUUGAAAGUAGGUCUAGAGGGGGGGUGAUUAGACUACUUGACCAAAUAAAAAUCUAACCUUUUCCCAAUUUAAGUUGUGGACAGAUUUUAGCAACUAGCACAAGUCAAGCAAUCAACCUACACAUGCAAUUCUAAGAGUGUAGCAACGGAAAGUAAAACAUUGCAUAUGAGGGUAAAGGGAAGGGUAUGGAGAGUGCAAACUCAAUGGAGACACGGAGAUUUUUGGCGUGGUUCCGAUAGGUGGUGCUAUCGUACGUCCAUGUUGAUGGAUACUUCAACCCACGAAGGGUAACGGUUGCGCGAGUCCACGGAGGGCUCCACCCACUAAGGGUCCAUGAAGAAGCAACCUUGUCUAUCCCACCAUGGCCAUCGUCCACGAAGGACUUGCCUCACUCGGGUAGAUCUUCACGAAGUAGGCGAUCUCCUUGCCCUUACAAACUUCUUGGUUCAACUCCACAACUUGACGGAGGCUCCCAAGUGACACCUAACCAAUCUAGGAGACACCACUCUCCAAAAGGUAAUACAUGUUGUGUUGAUGAUGAACUCCUUGCUCUUGUGCUUCAAAUGAUAGUCUCCCCAACACUCAACUCUCUCUCACAUAUUUGGAUAUGAUGGAAAGAUGAUUUGAGUGGAAAGCAACUUGGGGAAUGCUAGAAAUCAAGAUUCUUAUGGUAGGAUUGGUAUAUCUUGAUCUCAACACAUGAGUAGGUGGUUCUCUCUCAGAAAAUGUAUGCUGGAAGCGUAGGCACGUUCUGAUGGCUCUCUCAUAAAUGGAGAAGGGGGUGGAGGGGUAUAUAUAGCCUCCACACAAAAUCCAACCGUUACACACAUUUGACCCAAGUCGGUCAGACCGAGAUGAACACGGUGAGACCGAUUUAGUUCAAAAUGUGAAUGUUAGGAAUCUCGGUGGGACCGACUGGAACAACUCGGUGGGACCGAUGUGCUAGGGCUUAGGGAAAACCUUAUCUCGGUGGUGCCGAUUGCAUCAACUCGGUGAGACCGAAGUGAAGCAAUUGAGCAACAGAGAGUUGGUCAAGCCAUCUCGGUGAGAUCAAUCGCUAUUUCGGUGAGACCGAAAUAAUUGCAAUAGGAAAUAGAGAGUUGGCAAGGCCAUCUCGGUGAGACCGAGAUCCAUAUUGGUGUGACCGAACUGUUAUGGUUUCUAGCAGUGGCUAUGUCAUAUGAACUCGGUGGCUCUGGAUAGAAUGAAUCGAUGGGGCCGAGUUGGAGUUUAGGGUUUUGACAUAUUUGGAAUGAGAAAGCAGUUGAGGGAUUUGGAGCAAUAACACUAAGCAUUUUGAGCAAGAAAGCCAUUAAGCAACACCUCAUCCCCUUUUAAUAGUAUUGGCUUUCCUACGGACUCAAUGUUAUCUUGGAUCACUAAAAAUGAAAUGAAGAGUCUUGAGCUUUUGCCAAUAUGUGUCCUUAGAAUUUUGAGGGGUCCACAUCUCUAGUCCAUGUCAUGCCAUUCAUUGGACUUUCUGAAAUAUUAAACUUGAAUGGUUAUUAGUUCAAUGAGCUAUACGUUGUUAUAAAUUACCAAAACCACUCGGGGAUUAGUUGCACUUUCAUCAGUGUAAGUCAAAUGGCUCACUUUGCAUGGGAGGGUCCUGUUUGCAAAAUUGUGCCAGCCUCAAAUCCCCCCACCCCACCACAAAAUCCCUAACUCCAUGACGCCCACAAAAACAUAAUUCCCUUCCGUCGUUUGCCAUCGCCCUCCUCUGCAUCCGUCCGCGCCAUGUCGACAAGCUUAGUCCGAUCAGCUCAUGACAGUAGGGUGUGGUGGUGCCUCUCAUUAGAUGCCCUCAGUGCCACACUCGGGUGAAGUUCUAUGUAUUGAACACAGAGAACCAUGAAGAUUGGGUCUUUUACAAGUGCAUCCAUCAUGGUGUGCUCGGCGACCCAUGUUUUAAAUUUUAUUAGAUUUCGGUGCAUGGUCUGCAGCAAAUUUGACACUUCUUUUGGUCUAUUUGGUUAUUAGGAUGUCUGUGAUUUCUGGCAUUGAGAGUUGGAUUACGUGGGUUAUCUUGUUGGUAAGUUGUUCCUCGUUGGAUAUGACGUGGUAGAGAUGCAGAUGAUAGGAGGGAAGAGCUUAUUCGAGCAAUAAAUGAAAGAGCUCAGGCUUGCAAUGAACAUAGGCAUUGUUGGUGGAAAGUAUGAAAGGCCUAUGCUUGUAGGCAAUACCACAUGCAUUGGAGCUAGAAUGGAUGAAAGGGCUAGGCUUGCAGGCAAUACUGGAGGCAUAAGUGUCAGUACUGAAACCGGCAGAUCUCGGGGUAGGGGGUCCCGACUCCCGAGUUGUGGAUCUCGGAUCUAGGGGUAACAGGGGACGGAGGAGACAUUGUUUACCCAGGUUCGAUCCCCCACACACUUCCACCGGAUAUGGGGGCGGUGGCACCGACGAUUGCCUUACUUUGCCAUGCGUAUUGCUGCACCGCUUCCUUGAUCGAAGACGAAGAGAUAAGGGGAUUUGAUGCAGUGCCAAGCAAACUAGAGAGUUUUCUAGAAAAACACCACAUAGAUCUGUGCUUUUUGCCAGCUAACGCUUUAUAUUGGUCAGCACGCGACUGGUCAACAUGUGAUGAGCAGAGGAAUAUACAGUGAACAAUGACCAUACAAUCAUAUCUUGUUGUAUUUACCGCCUCGUCUUCUGUGGUCUUAGGGCCAUGGAGGCGCGGUGGCCCUUGCCGGUGGGAGGGCUCCGCUUUUUGAUGUUUCUUCGAGUUUUGUUAGAGUUUGUGUUCUGCUCAGAGAUGCAAGGCGGCGACGACUCCCUGAAGAUGGAAAUAAGGUUCUCCCCGCCUAAUCCCCGUCUUGGUGGUGCGUCCAGUAUCGUCGAUGGACGUACAUGUGGAGGUGUGUCUUCGGCGGAUCUGUCUUUGGUGGAUUUGUUCGGAUCUAGUCUAGUUCGUCUACGUUCGUGUGUUUUCAGUUUGGGUCCUUCCGAUCUACGCUACUCCUCAACGGCGGCGGUUGUUAUUCCGGUGCGCUGGUCCUAUGGGGCCUUAACACAACGAUUUUCCGACUGUCUACCACAACAAGUUUUGUCCGACUCCGGCGAGGGAGGGGCGAUGACGGCUGCGCGCCUUCGGCUCGCUUCAGUGCUCGUAGUCGUCGCUAGGCGGUCUACGGAUCUGGAUGUAAUUUUUAUUUUUUCUGGUAUUCAUUAUACUGCCAUGAUCGGAGAUGAAUAGAUUGGAAGUAUUCUUGCAAAAAAAUAGUGUCCGUUUUCAUGAAUAUGGUGACCAAAGUGAGCUUUCCCGGCAAGUUUAGUGACCCAUUUUACUCUUUGCAAUUCAGACCCUAAUGGCUUCUUUUGUUCAGCUCUUAGAUUAGAAUUCCGUCCCCUGCAGGGCCAGGGCCGUAAAAUUCCAGACGAGCAAAACUUCCCAAAAGAACCCCUCGUCUUUCCCCUCUCCGAUCCACUCCUACAACCUCCGAUCUCCCUGGCGUCCAAGCUCCUCUCCAACCUCGGCGCGAAAUGGCGACCACCGUCGGCGACGCGCCGACGGCAAUGGACGAGAAGGCCCGGCGCACGCGCGAUCUCCUGGCCAGUUUCUACAACACCGACCCCGCGGCCGCCGGUGCGGCCGCCGCGUCCCCGGCGCGGCCCUCCCCCACCGCCGCCACCGCGUCGCCGCUCGAGUCCAUCAACUCCACCUCCUUCAACCCCGAUGUCUACAUGGACGUCCUGGUUCGCCCACUUGCUCCCUGCUCCCUCUAUACGUGGUCUCCCAGAUCCAGCUCCCCGUGUCUCGGUCGGAUCUUAUGGCUGGGCAUGCUUUGGAUAGACUAGCAACUAAUAUGAUUACCUGUAGUAACUGCUAAUUGGUAGUCUCUGGUUACAAUUCACCUGAUUGAUGCACAUUGCAGCAACACAUUUUGCUCGUCUAGCUAUUAAUUUAAAAUAUGGGGUCCUUAAACAGAGUUCUGUUUUCAUAAUUAUUUUGUUGAAUGAUGCAUGUGGAUGUAAAAUGUGUCUCCCUUUCAUUGUAAAACCUCAGUUGAAUUUAUGUAGAAGCUUAAUCUGGAGUAUGGUAUCUAGGUACAUGUGAUGGUGUUCAGCACAACUACUAUCAUUUUUCUGCCAGCAUUUUCUGUCCUGUAGCUUAGAUUGACCGCCAUUCUGAUCAGUGGAAUUCCUGUACGAGCUACCAUGAACUGUAUUUGAACUGGUGAACAGUAUCCCAUUUCCGUAUCAGUACCGCAUAACUUGCAAUGUUCAGUUGAACUGCUCGAGUUAUCUACACUAUUUCCUUGCAGUGUUGGCUUGAUGUGAAUAGUUUUAUAUGAAAGGCGAAAUGGUUUUGAGUGUCUUUUGCGAGACAAACUUUGUCUGUUAUGGCUAGUGGUUAUUGAUUAUUAAAACAGCGCAGUAGGACACAUGGAACUAGAGUUUAGUUUGGCAGUUCUGAAUUUCAGAUGAGAACUCUGACUUCCUUGUGUUCUGUAGGUGCAACAAUCAAAUCUGGAAGCCCUUCUACAGAGGCAUGUGAAGAUGGCUGCCGAGAUCAAGAACCUGGACACAGACUUACAGAUGCUAGUAUAUGAGAAUUAUAACAAAUUUAUAAGUGCAACUGACACUAUAAAAAGGUGAUGGUAUUUCCUUCACUGCAUUAGCUCUCUGCUGUUCCUUCUAUUAGUGAGUUUGAGAUACUAGUGCUAUUACAUACUAUAGCGGUAAUGUUCUUUAUGUACCUAUGUUUCUCCUGCAGGAUGAAGACUAACAUUGCUGGUAUGGAGACAAACAUGGAACAACUACUUUCAAAGGUUUGCAUCAUGAUGUUGUUGAUGUACUUCUUGGGACAUAGUUGAACCAAUCUGCCUUUAUUUUUGCCAGAUAACAUCAGUGCAGUCAAGAAGUGACACAGUGAACACAUCUCUGUUCAACAAAAGAGAAAACAUAGAGAAAUUACACCGAACACGCAAUCUCCUCCGGAAAGUUCAAGUAAAUCCUGUUCUAUUUUUGCUAUUCUUCUCGAGAACUAAUAUAUGCAGAACCGUUUGUGUUGUUGUCCUUGACAAACUAUGAUUUAUACAUACAAGUUAGGCUAUGUGGAUCCCAGCAAUUGCAAUUUGUUAAAGCUAGUGAUAUUCCAUUGUUUUCCGUAUUUAGCCUAACCUGACCCAUGUUACAGUGGUCCAGUGGACCUAUGUAUGUUGUGGAUUUUGUCCUAUGUCUAGAAUUGAAUGUGACAGUUGGCAUAAAACCCAGGUACUGUAUAGUUAUUCUAAGUUUUAACUUCUGUGUGAAGCAAGUACAACAUAACACAUAAGUUGUUGUGCAUGUUGUAGUUUUUUUUAGGGGAGUGCAUGUUGUAGCUUAUUUCAUUUGGAAGUUGGGUUAUGAUCAUUACAUCACUUGUGUAUCUGUGUGGUUGUGUUUCUUAUUUCAUCAAAAAUGGACCAUUCACAGCUUUUCCGAAAUCAAGUUACUUUGGAUUACAUAGAAACUAUGUUGUGCUUGACCACCAUGAGUUUUUGUCUUAGUUGAAGACAUGCUAUGUACUACCUCCGUUCUGGUUUAUUGGCCCCCUUCGUGUUUUGUGCCAAAUUUUGACCAUAAAUUUAACUAACAAAAUGUUAAUGCAUGUCAGUAAAAAUUAUAUCAUUGGAUUCGUAUCUGAAUAUAGUUUCUGAUGAUAUUAUUUUUGCUAUGUAAUAUAUAUAUUUUAUCAGUUAAAAUCGUGGUCAAAAUAUGACCCAAAAUACGAGGGGACUAAUAAACCAGGAUGGAGGUAGUAGAUGCUUGUUCAGGACUGCUCUUUCACAUAUUUGCUCCAUGAGCUCUUUAAUAUUCUAUUCAGAGUAUUAGCACUACCCGUGAGUUCUGAGUGCUGAAGAUAUGCAGAUGCCAACAAACUUAAGAUGAUGCCAUUUUUCAAUAUUUUGUUUGCAGUUCAUAUACGAUCUGCCAACCCGGCUCAACAAAUGCAUCAAGGCAGAAGCAUAUGCGGACGCUGUCAGAUUUUUUACUGGAGCAAAACCUAUUUUUGAGGUUCAGUUCAGCUAUUUCCCCAUCCUAGAAACUUUCCUGACACAUUUUUAGCAUUAUCUAUAUAAUUUUUCUUUAUGGUAGGCCUAUGGUGAUACAUCCUUUCAAGACUGUAAAAAAGCAUCUGAGGAGGCAAUGGAUUUGGUUAUACAACAGCUUCAGGUAAUUGUCUACAUUUUGGCUCAGAUUUGAGAUUUGUAUGGAAGAGCUUAAUGUUAAUCCUCCAUUCCUAAGUAGUUGGAACCCACAAUCUAUUCUUCCUCUACAUGCAGCCAUGCCACAUCAGCAAGUUAUGCAUGUCUGCCAUGUCAUCAGCCCCACUAGCAAGCAUUAAUAGCUAUAUUUUUGUGUUCUUGCAAUGAGCACACCAUCAACGUUGAUGCAGCCAUUGGAUCUGCUGAUCUAUCAACAUCCGUGUGAUCUAGACAUAGAAAGAGCCUCUCUACCAUGUAGCACGCAUUAGUGCAGUCUCAGUGGGUUUUAUAAUCUUUUAUCUUGAGAUUUUUAUUUUUAUUUGUUUUGCUAAAAUUUCCCACAUGCUUUGAAUUUAAUGAAUGGAUUUACAUUCUAUACAUUAUUGAGUAAUCUUUAAUUCCGCGGUAAUGCAUGGGGUAUCAUCUAGUUUGACAGCAAUGAUGUAAGUUUCAGUCUAGAGGGGUGUUUUCCCCUUGCUACAAGGCAUAUAGUGUGAUUCCUUCUAUUGCUUUGUUAAAUAAUUGUGUUAUCCUAAUCGUAUCAUCAUGUUUACUGCUGUUACUCUUUACUUAUUUUAAGUAAAUUUGCAGGCAAAGUUGUAUUCAGAUUCUGAACCUAUUGAAGCAAGAGCAGAAGCUGUGGUGCUUCUUAAGCAACUUAAUUUUCCUGUAUGUAUUUUUGCUAUCUCUUCAUUAUUUACAUGCCAAUUUUGUUCCAAUAAGGAUGGCAAUGGAUAUUUGCGGGUACCUGGGCAAGGGUUUGGAUAUUUUUUGCACCCAUUGGCAGCGCCCGAACCCGAACCAACUAGUCUUCAGUAGGGCAUGGGCAUAAUUCUAUACAUGUGGGUAUCCCCGAAUCCGUCCCAGUAGUCUGACUUGUGGGGCAAUAUUCUCUGAUCCCUACCAUACUAUCGUUUUCCCCAUAGUAAAUUUUUUAUCUAAAAAGCAAAGAAAAAUUCAGCAUCGUAAGUUCGUAACUUACUCCGCCGACUUUUCAAGUUGUGCUAUGUCAUUUUGUGAGAAUCUUUGAUGUUAUGCUAUGCCAUUUCAUGUGCAACUUAGAUUGAGAAUGGAUGCAUUGUACACUUGUGCUUAUUUGAUGUUGUCGGAAGUGCUGAUCUUAAAAUUGGUAAGCGUUUUUGUUGUUUCCUGAGGUAUCACGUAUACAUGUUGAGAGGAGAGGACCCAAUGGAUAUCCAUACCCCGAUUGUUAUCCAUCCAUCGGGUUUUCACACGGGCAUGAUUUUCUGCAUGUGUUUUUUUUGGGCAGACAGAGUGUUAAGGAGUAUUAGUAUUAGGUCUAGGAGUCUUAUUAGGCUAUGUUUACUUUCCUUGUACCCCAAGUCUUGUGUAAUAUAUAUAUGCCCUUUCGGUCUUGCAAUACAAUCAAGUUGCAUCCAUAACAUGGUAUUAGAGCCUAGGUUUAGGUCUCCUACGGGCGCCACAACUCGUCCCCUCUCCUGAUCGGAUUUUNNNNNNNNNNNNNNNNNNNNNNNNNNNNNNNNNNNNNNNNNNNNNNNNNNNNNNNNNNNNNNNNNNNNNNNNNNNNNNNNNNNNNNNNNNNNNNNNNNNNNNNNNNNNNNNNNNNNNNNNNNNNNNNNNNNNNNNNNNNNNNNNNNNNNNNNNNNNNNNNNNNNNNNNNNNNNNNNNNNNNNNNNNNNNNNNNNNNNNNNNNNNNNNNNNNNNNNNNNNNNNNNNNNNNNNNNNNNNNNNNNNNNNNNNNNNNNNNNNNNNNNNNNNNNNNNNNNNNNNNNNNNNNNNNNNNCCCCUCGGCUACUGCUUCUCUGCCUGCGCCGAGCCGGCAUAAAACAUUGACCCAUUCCAAUUUAGUAUGACGACUGAGCCAUUCCAUAAAACAUUUCUCUGAUGCAAAUAAUGUUGGCUUGUCAUGUUAAACAACUAUCAUUUUCUCUGUCCAUCACUUUCAAUCACUCAAACGAGGCAUUGCAAAUACAUUGAAGCACUGUUUAUAGAACGUCCUGGAACUAUGUGUAUGAUAUGGGCAUGUGGCUUGACAGUGAAUUACUGAAAAUAAUAUGGUACAGCCUCACGAUCUUUUUAUGCAAAUAAUAAUCGUGACUAGUUGUGUUAUUGUGAUGUGCAUAUUGAAGUCAGAGUUUGUGCUCAUAUUGCACUGAUAAAUAGUUAUCACACUGUUUGCAUAUGUUGCCAUUUGCUCUGUAAAUCUUGUCAUACUAUUUUAUGUUGUAUCUGUGAACAGGUCGACAACCUUAAGUCAAACCUACUUGAGAAGCUCGAAGAUUGCCUUUUAAAUUUGCAGACUGAGCCCACGCAGGUAUAUAUCAGAAAUAUUAGAACAAAUAAACAACUUGCAUUUUAUUUUGGGUGGAAAUUCUGUAAUCUACCUAGCUUGUGUUGCCUAUGUUGUGAUUUCGACAUGCAUUAAAUCAUCUAAUAUAGUUAACACCCUACAAAUCUAGUCUAUUUGUAGCACUUUACUUCCCUUUUUGCCAACUCCUAUACAUUAUCAUAAUGCUAUUUUGUAUGUUCUGUCACAGGCUUCAGUUGGUGAUAUUUCAAAGACAUUCCGUGCUUAUCUCAUAAUAUUUCCUGAUUCAGAAAGUCGUCUCAUUGAACUUGCACAUGCUUUGUUUACAAAGUAAGCAUCACAUACUUUAUGCAAUUUUACAAGUGGACCAUUAGCUAUUUUUAAAUCAUGAAUGACUAUGUCCUGUCCAUGGUACUUGCCAUUAUGGAACCAAGAAUACUGACCAAGGCAAUUACCAUUGUAAAAAAAUGAAGUCGUACACUAAAUCCUGUUUGCUAAAACAAGUAAUUUGCCUUCGAACAGUUGAACCUGAAGUAGUGUGUCAUAACAUAUUAUAUCUCCAGUUCCCAAUGCACUUUUAGCGUGUGUUUUUUUGUGUGCUGAUUGAUGUGCAAAGCCUCUGUUUCUCUGAAUGUUGCAGUGAGUUUGUGUUCAUUUUUCUUGGAAGAUGUCUUCCUUUGCUACCAAAUCCAACAAUUGGCUUGAUCAUUCUACUUGAGUCACUUAACUUUAUUUUUGUUUGCUUAAGUAUUCUCUAAGCUUACGCAUUCAGAAAAAAAAUUGAUAUCUCAAAGUACUAUGGCACAUCACCAAACUAAAAUCAUGCAACCGACAGAACUUUGAAGGUAUAGCUUGAGAUGAUCAAAUUCCUCUAUUUUCUUAAAUCUUUCUUUCUUCAUUGACGUUCAUUCUUGACAUGAUCGAAACAGCUUAAGCGGGCUAUGAAAAUUGUUCUUCCUUCUAGUGACCGAGAGUUAUACUAUUGCUUUGCUUUGCACUGCUGGCAUAAUAUUUUUUGAAGGAAAAAUUUAAGGGAAGUCCUGGCAGUCCCAAAUUCGUGUCCACUAGAACUUGAACCCAGGCGGUUGGAUUGUACAUCCUCUCCCCCAACCAAGUGAGCCAGGCUCACUUCCUCUGCUGUCAUGAUAUUGAGGUCGGAGGUGCCAGAAUGGUGAAAGGGCCAUAUCUGGGGCUCUGGUGUAAAGUCCAUGGACAACCUGGUGCAUAUUCUUAUACUACCAAUUACAACACACAAGGAAAUGCAAGUGGAAUAUUUUCCUGUCUCUUGGGCAUCAUGUUACCUGUACAUAUGUUCGAUUUGUAGUGUGCUAAUACAUAUUUUAUGCGGCGGAACUUGGACACAAAAAUUGCUUCAAUCUGAGGCGGUCUCAGAUGAACUGAAACUAGUCUUUCUAUUAGGCUCCCCUUUUGGCUUUUGCUUCUUGUUUAUUUAAAUUUAUACUAUUAGAAAUUCAACCCAUAUACUUUUGUCUUAUUUCUAUUUGUGCUAUUUUGCAUGAAGCCGUUAUGAAACAGUCAGAGGGGCUCUGAAGGAAAGAAUUCCAUCAACAGAUCUGCUGGCAAUGCUACGUAAGAGCUUUAUCUAUGAUACAGUGCUGUAGUAAAGGUGUUUCCAUUAUAUCAAGAAUAAUAGUGUAAAGCUCUACAUGUUCUUUUUUCUUUUCUUGCCAAGACAUGAAUAAGUCGUGUUCCAUUUAGGUCUUUUAGUCAUUAGUCAUGAUACAAACUUACAAAGGACAUUUUGCACAAAUACCAUGGUGAUUUGCCUAUGAAUGAUGAUGCUAAUUGCUAAGUAAGUUUUAUCCAAUCAUUUUAUAAUGUUUUACUUUGUUUCCGUGUUAUGCUGUACUAUGUAUAAUGGAAGAACUAUCAUGCUGUUACUAUAAUGGAAGGAUUGUUAUGCUGUACUAUUUUAUAAUGGAGAAUGACUGCAAAGCAGUGGUCUUCAAAUUCACGAUGAACUUUGGUUGAGUUUUGAAGAAACUAACUAUUAAAAUUUGAAUUGGUAUCAACUCAGUUCAGCAGUGGAUAUUUAACUCCUACCUUGAGAAAAUUCUUAUGUUUCAUCUGUUAUCACAGCCCUUAAUGUCAAUAUUUUUGUUGUUCUUGAGAGUGUUGGCGGUGCUUUUACCAUUAAUAGCCAUGCAUGUUAAGUUUUUUAACCUUCAAUGUCCAUGUAUCUUAAUACGAUUUUACUGUGGGUUUUGAAAGACCAUUGUAUUUCUCUUGACUUAAUCCUUCUAUGAUACGAUGAUCGCAGGAGGUUUAUGGGAGGAUGCAACUGCCAUCGACGAAGUUAUAUCAGAGGCUGCACUGCCAGCUUUUUCAUUGGAGGUUUAGUCUUCACCCUGUAACAGUCGCAUUCAUUUUUCAAAUUACUCCACCUUUUAAGGCACAAAUGAUAUAUUUUUCUCUGUUUUUAUAAAUCCGAUACUAACAGAUUUAAUAGUGUCACCCAGUUGAUUUGUUUUGCCUAGAAUCAAGUAGAAACUACAUGCUAAAUAUGCAUAAUUUUCUCCAUGCGUUAGUGUUAUGUGAUCCUUUCUGGUCGUUUCUUACUUUAGAAUAUUGCUUGAAACAAUACUGCCUUUUCCACUUACCACAAAGCGAUUAAAGUGUUGGAACGAGGGACACUGUUCGUGGAGGCAAAGCAUAUUAGCAGCUAAUUCCGUCCCAUUUCUGAAGGCAAGACGGCAUAGGAGUGCACCUUACAAUUGAUAGCCCUAAUUAUUCACAUUUAGUUAUGAUGGACUGGAAACAGAAGCUUGCCCAGUAUACGCUGGUUUCCUUUCCCAGUUGUAUUGUUGUCGGUAGUGUUGAGUACUAUUCGAGCACUCGUUGCUAGGGGUGAACCUAUGAGAUAUCUUAUCUUGACAACCCAUGUGAAUUCACAAAAGAACCAAUUUCUUUUUGUAAGGUAAGCUAAAUUUCUCAAGUUUUUUUUAUUAAGAUCUGCUAAUUUCCUUUCCUCUCUCGUAUGUUCUUAUUCAGGGGUAUAAUGAAUAUUAUUCAAUCCCCUUCUGUAGUUGCUUAUUCAGGACAUCCAUGUCUAAAGAGCUGUCUAUUUUUCUCGAUGCUGAUUUAAUAUGUAAUAAGCAACAAUUUCUUUGCUGUGUCAGACUACUCGAGACAUUAUUAAGCAACACAUAGCAACUGCCUUUCUUCAUCUUCAAAAUGAAAUAUCAGGUUGCUCCCCUCCCACUCAGCUUGCUUUCAUUUGCAGUUUUUGCACAGAACUGAUUGUACCUCUCGAUUACGGAUUUCAUUUGACAGUAACUUAAUUUUUAUUUAUCUUGUAAUAGUACAAGUAUAUUUGGAAACAAGAAAGUAAACUUACAUCUAUUGGGCAUGGCUGAGCAGAUGUACUGGUCACACAUUCAACAUCAAAUGAGAAGUUAGAAGAGUCACAGCUGCAAACUGCCAUGGAAAAAAGCAAAAUUAAAGUAUCCCAAGGGUGCAUAGAUCUCCUGCAGGUAAAUAUCUGGAAGCCCUAAAAAUCAUGUGACCAUUCAUUUCCAUUGUUACUAUGUUGAAUAAUGUAAAAUAGUUCUGCCCAAGUACUGAAUUCCUCAUGCUUGUGUUAGAGAAACGUUAUACAGUUGUAGUAUAUUUCAAUGGUCUCAUUUUGACUAUGUUGCUUUUAGGAAUUCCGUCAUCUUAUAGAUGGGAAUACAGAGUUGCUAGUAAAGCUGAAAGAUUUGAUUAUUGAUUGGGUACAAGAAGGUUUUCAAGAUUUCUUUCAGAAACUUGAUGGGCAUUUUCAUCUGCUUUCUGGGAGAAGCACGGGUUUCUCUCAGGAGUCAAGUACUGUGGAUUUUGUGCAAAUUGACAAGGUUCCAACAGUGUUAGUGCUCAUGCUUGCGCAGCUUUGUGUUUUCAUAGAACAGACAACGAUUCCUAAAGUUACAGAGGUAUAUAUCUUCACUUGCUGACAGCCUUUCUUACAUUUGAGAAACUGGACAGGUGAAUGUGUGCUGAAUGAUUCGGAACUUUGUUAUUUUUCUAGGAUUUGGCUGAUUCUUUCUCUGGAGGGAGAGCACGUAGCUCUGAAUAUGGACCACCUUUUGUACCUGGGGAGAUAUGUCGUCUAUAUCGUUCAUCUGGGGAGAAAUUCUUACAACAUGUAGGCAGACAUUUUCUGUACCUUUCUUCCCCUUUCAUUCUGUUAAUUUGAAUUCUUAGUUGAUAUUUUUUUCUGUAUGCUCCCCGUGUGCCAUACAGUGAAACUGUUCAUAUUGAAAAGAAAGAAGGUUUAUAUGACUUGGUCGACUAGGGCUUUCUAUUUUUUUUUCUGGAUCACUACGGCAUAGUAGCAUGCACUAUUAUAAAAAUCUAUUCUGAAUUUUCGGAGAACUUUUUGACCUUUUUUUGCAGCUCUGAGAGUAAUGUAAGUGCAUGCAGAAUGUUGAGCAUGUCAAGUUAGGUCCAAAAAUAGCAUCACGACAAUUAGGUGCUAAAGGAACUUAGAAUAACCGUGAAAAGCUGUCAGUCACAAUAUUGUUAUUGGUCUAGAAUGUUGAACUAAUAAGCAUCUUCUGUAAUAAUGACAUACUCAAUCCGUUACAACUUGUACUAAAUCAGCGACACUUAAUAUGGAACGGAGGGAGUAGUUUACAUGUGGUGGAACUGUUGCUUUUGCCGAGAGAUAGUUGGGAACAUUUUUUUAAUUCAAGUUUUCACUUUGGAAGUACAUUUUCUUAUCAUCUGGCUGUAGCUGAAUAUUGUUUUUCUGCAAUCAGUACAUAAAUAUAAAGACUCAGAAGAUUUCCAAACUUCUUAAUAAGCGAUUUUCGACACCGGUCUGGCUAAAGGUUAGCUAUCCUAUCCAACAUGAACUCUUUUUCGUUCAUUGAUCAUUCUGCUAUUUCUAUUUUUUGCUCACGUUUGUGUUCUGUAUAUUCGACCAAAACAGCACAAGGAACCACGGGAAGUUAACAUGUUUGUUGAUCUACUUCUCCUAGAGGUUUGUUCACUUUCUUAUCCUAUUAUAUACUCCCUCCGCCCUGAAUUACUUGUCUUAGUGUUAGAUACAUCAUACAUCCGUGUCUAAGACGAGUAAUUUGGGACGGAGGUAAUAUUGAACAAUAAGGUACCAUGCGACUCUACUUCAUCUUAAAACUGAUGCUUACAUUUCACGCUCACUACUGCAUAUUACUGCCAUCUGGUUUUCAAGAACAUGAGCUCAUGCUGGAAGGGUUUCUCUUACUAAUACAGUAAUAAAUGUUUCUUACCCUGCAGUUCAAUGGCGUAGUAUCUGAAGUCAAGCAGAUCUUACCUGGUUUAAUCCGGCGGCAUCGGCAUUCUGAUAGCACUGGCAGCACCACUUCCUCUAGAAGCAAUCCGAUGCGAGAAGACAUGUUGAACCGAUCAAACACAAACCGGAGUAGAAGUCAAUUUCUAGAAAAUCAUCUAGCAAAAUUAUUCGAACAGAAAAUGGAAAUAUUCACCAAACUUGAAUACACACAGGUGGAGAUCAGCUUCACUUUCCUCUUAUAUAACUCUUGAAACUUCCUGUUUCCCUUUUUGUUUUACAAAAUGCAUAAUACCCUUAGGAUGUUUUCCAUCCCUUGUUGAUUAGAAGUCUUUCCCCUUGCUAGUAUAAACAUAUUGAGUUGAAACCAUUGAUCUUUUAAACUAUUCAGUAUUUGGAUUGGGGAUCCAUAAUGCAACUGUCAACCAGAGUUAGGGCAGAAGUUAGUGAGUGCUCCUUCUAGUCACAUGAGCUUGUCACAGUAGGAGUGUCAUGGUCAGUUUGUAGCCAUGGACCAGCGGUUAUCUUUUUGACUACCCAGAAUGGUCACAUGAAAAAAUGAGCACAUAUUCCUGGACUCGUCAUAAAAACAACUUUCAUAUUGUUACACACUUCGAAGUACAACGCGGCAUAAAUUGAUGGACACAUUUUCACUUUAGAACACAAAAAUACGUCAAGAAUAUUUCAAAAGAAUGUAAUAAUUGUUUUUUAGAAAGCCACCGCAGUCCAAAUGCAGCACAAGUCAGAGUGUGUCUUCUGAAAGAGAUCAUGCGUCUUCCUGAUUGAAUUUACUGGGCUUGUUGCAGCAGUAAUUUUAUAGUUCAAAUUUAGGAUUGAUUUGCUAGGUGAUCAUGUAGAAUUUUCUUUUCUUUACAUUUACACCAUAUAUCCGUUCUGACAGUAAUUUCUUGUGUGACAAAUAAAUUUCAGGAAUCUGUAAUUUCUACUGUCCUCAAGCUUUGCCUGAAAAGUUUGCAAGAAUUUGUCCGGCUUCAGACCUUCAACAGAAGUGGAUUUCAGCAGAUCCAGUUGGAUAUGGAAUUUCUGAAGAGCUCCCUCAAGGAGUUUAUUGAUGAUGAAGCAGCCAUAAGCUUUUUACUUAAAGAGGUUAGACAUUACCUAACAUUGAAAUUUGAAUACAACCCAAUUUAGUAGUUUUAUUGAGUUUUCCCAUACUAUGCCUGCCUGUAUCUAGGUCUUUACAUAAACACUAAGCGCAAGCAUUUGCACACAUCUCAUGUCAAUAAGAGUUGGGAUCUUUUGUGUGAAAGGGAACUGUUGCAUAUUUAGUUUUCUCUUGUGAACCUGUCUCUGGAAGAUGUGAACAUUGUUUAUUUCCCCCUCCUUUGCAGGUGAACAAUGCUGCACACGAGAGAUGUCUUGACCCGAUACCUCUUGAGGCCCCAAUAUUAGAUAAACUCAUAAAUGCAAAACUGGCAAAAAUCAAAGAGCAAAGCGCGAAUAUGUAGUAGCUACCAACACAUUGUAUCUCUCAGCAGCACUCAGUUUUACUCAAUUUAAUACACAGUAUUCAAGCUAUGUGCAUAUAGUUGUGGGCUUGUGGCAUGCCACCAUCUGUAAUAUGUAAAUCUGAGGUCAAAACACUCGAACUGAAUCAACAAUGCCUGAAAUGUAUACUUCUUGAGCUCUCGGUGUCCCAUUCUGCCAUUGUAUUGUCAUGAGUGUCGACUCCAGAGUUGAGGUAAACCUUGAGCAACCUAGGGCCGGAACGGAAGGAGAACCGUGUUAUGCAUUUAAUUGGGUGGACAUUUAGAAGCUGUUGAAUGCAGAGAAAAGAUGCAAUACUUUGAGGGCGCAGCUCGUGGAGAAAUUAUGAGGUAAGUAUACCACAAACUGUAUCCCAUGCCAAUAUGUUGUUGAGAUAAUACACGUGGGAGCUUAAUGACAUACGUUUUUCUUUAUUGGCAGCCUGAUUACUAUGAUUACCGAAGUCCAUCCACUCGACAACCCUCUCCUUUUUGGAAAGAACUAGUAUCUGGAUUCAGACUGUAAUUCUGCAUGUCUUGAUUGUGAUUUUCACUGUACGUUACCGUUGGUUGCUUAGACUUGUACCAUUUGCGUUUCCCAACUAUAGUGAUCUGAAAGAUAUAUUUCUUUACAGAGGGAGUAUAUUUAACAAUUUUGGCCUACAAUAUGUAUAUGUACCCAGGAGGAUGAUACAACUGGAGUAAUUGUUGGUUUUGAGAUGCAGUAACGUGGGGAAGUAUAAGUGUAAAUAAGGCAUCAACAUUCGAUGCGACCCAAUGAAUGUCUUGGAAAAAGUUUUUUUUUUUGAGAAUCUUGGAAAAAGAGAUGAUUUGACUGUUUCUUCUCAACUUAUUUUGAUCAUGGCCUCUUAAUAACACAUAGUUGCUUCCCUUGCAAACUGCUCACUUCAAGAAAUCAUCAUUCCAGGUCGAUGUAAAUGAGUUAAGAUCAAAGACCACACAAAUCGCAAUAAUAUGUGCUCCUUUCUCAAUAGUAUCUCAUGUGUGAGAAAAUAAAUGAAUAAGAAACAACCAACAUUGUGUAUAUAUAUGUAAUUCCAAAUGAAGGCGCUUAGGUAAACUUCUAUCUCAACUGCAUAUGUCAGUAAUUCUCAUUGUUCUCAGGAAAAAGUAGAGAGCAACAAUCUGCCAUGUGCCAAGAAAUACAAACGAGACACAGCCAAUUACUGAUUUCACGACGCUUGAACAAACACACCACAAGACAACUAGUGUAGCUUUCAUAACUAGCUAGAGGCCCUAACUCUGCCAACCCGCGCACACAAAAUGUACAGGAAGAGGUUAACAAUAACAACAGUGGGGAGGAGGCACUCCAGGGCUAAACACUGGGCAUCGAGGUGCAGACAACAACGUAUGCGAGGUACUGGAGGGCGUCUUGUAACUUGCUGACGGCACUCGUCUGGUCGGAUUUCAGAUGGCUGGAUAUGUCCUUGGCUUUCUCCUGCACCGACUGAUGCAGGGCAUCGCCCUGCUUGUCUGCCAGAGCAUUCUGUAUCGCUGCUGCAUAAGCUUCCGCAACAUCUGAGAUGCCU